UUUUUUUUUUUUUUUUCGAAAGUUGUUUUUGUCAUUAUGUACAUCUUUUUCCUUUUUAGGUACGAUUAUUCGGGAUAUGGUCAAUCUAGUGGAAAGGUAUGAAAUCUUAUUCUUUUUCGUGUCGAUUUGAUUCUGUUAGCAACUUUUGUAGGGGAUGGACAUCUUUGGAAUCUCGGGAUCUAUGGCUUUGUUUUUAGCUUUGUCUGUUCUAUUAUAGGAAGAGAAGUUAAGAGUGUUAUGAUUUUUUUCUUGUCAUGCUGCUUACAAGAGGGAUUAUUGAAGGGAGAAGUAGGAAGAAAUGCUCUCUGUUUUCUCUGUUUAUGCUUCCAAACCCAUGCAUUUCCUCUAAAACUGAUGGGUGAGGAGAUCAUGUUAACUUUUGAACCUACAGAUGAUAGGGUGUAUUGAGAAUACUACAAAUGACUAAAUAUACCAUGUUGAAUAAGUUUGAGCUAUCUUUUUGGUUAACUAAAAUUUAAAUAGUAUCUUCUGAGUCGAAGAUUAUUUUCUGAUUGAAAUUUGAAGUCUGGGCUUUAGCGUUCUACCGAGUUGGAUGUAGCUGACUUUUCUUUCUGGCAUUCUCCCUUUCUCCAGCCAAGUGAGCAGAAUACUUAUGCAGACAUUGAAGCUGUCUAUAGAUGCUUAGUGGAGAAGUAUGGGGCAAAGGAGGAAGAUGUUAUCUUAUAUGGGCAAUCUGUUGGCAGUGGACCCACUUUAGAUUUGGCUACUCGUUUACCGAACUUGAGGGCGGUAGUUCUUCACAGUCCGAUCUUGUCAGGUGUUCGAGUCAUGUAUCCAGUAAAGCGAACAUUCUGGUUCGACAUUUAUAAGGUGUACAUUCAUUAAUUUCUAAAUUUUACGUAAGGUUGUGUUAUGAAACUGAAUUUGAUGGUCAUUCUUCUAUUUUUUUUUUAUAUUGCAGAAUAUUGACAAAAUCCCAUUGGUCAAUUGUCCAGUUCUUGUAAUUCAUGUGAGUAUCCUUUCGAACAUCUGGUGAUUACUAAGAUCUUGAAUGCUCGAAAAUGUGGACAGUUGGUGUACUAUAGAGUAGUAACAAAGUAAGCCCUCAAACAUUGUUUGACUCAUUGGCGGAUUACCAUAAAAUUACAUUCUUAAAUGCUGUGGAAAAGGCUUAUAGGUCUUGGUUAUUUUCUUCUGAAAAAAAUUUACGUAUUAGGAGUGUAAUUACCUUGUUGUAGCAAUUCAUUCGAGCAACCAGUCAAGACACUAUAUCCUCAACUAAAAGGGUAUGAUGUCAGAAUCCCCUAUCCCACAUAUUGAAGAUCGCAAAGUUCUCUCCCUGCAGCAUUGUUUUUUGCUAAUAGGUGGCCUUUCUCCAACUUUCUGAAACUUAAAAUUACUCCAUUUGAAACAAUACUCUCUGCUGUCCUUCAGAGUUUGAAGACCUCUAACAGUUUGACAGCCAUUUGUUAAUGUAAGUUUCAUAGGCCAUGCAUUUAGCUUUUUAAGACCCACGGUAGAAACCAGAAAUCAUUAGAAGCCCAAGGACAAAUUGAAAGCCCUUUUGUUAUUCGUUGCGUCAUAGUUGUAUUCCUGCUGAUUUGAUGUAGAACCUGUAAAACAUCUUGCGAGAUAAAUAAUUUGAAGUUCGAGAAAUAGCUUUUGGUUUGGACUUCCAAAUUCUUUCAUUCCUUCCAUUUCAAAACAUAAUUGUGUUUUAUUGUGGUAAUUUUGCUGUAUCUCACUGCUACCUUGCCAAUACAAACACAAGCAUACUUCAACUAACCUAAAUUUGUAUUAUCAACCUCAAGGUUUGAGGCUGAAUCUCCUAUCCCACAUAUCAUACAAAAAGAAAAAUCACUGCUAUCUCGAUGAAUUUAACUCACUCGUUUUAGUGGAUUCUAGUUUACACAUCGCCUUAAUAGUAUAAAAGACUUAAUUUUCAUGUUUGAAGCAUGUCAUGCGGCAGUGUAGAACGAAAAGAAAAGAGACAUUAAAUUCAAUGGUGGACUUCAGGUGGAUGUAAGCUGUCUCUGUUGUUCAUAUGUACACAAGUGGCGACUGCGUGUUUCACUUUGAUGUAAAUGCCUGCCUGAUAUGUGAUAACAAAUAUGAGCCUUGAAUUAACUGGUUGAACCUUUUUAGCAUACUAACUGUUUCUUGCAUAUUAAAUGAUACACCAUUGGACAUAUGAUUGAUUACUGGAAUCUAUCUCACAAAUGGUAUUAUAUGCAUGUUCUUGUGUCUUGCUAGGGAACUGCUGAUGACGUUGUUGACUGGUCCCAUGGAAAACAACUUUGGGAUCUUUGUAAAGAGAAGUACGAGCCGUUAUGGAUAAAAGGAGGAAACCAUUGUGACUUGGAGCUUUACCCGCAAUACAUAAAGCAUCUCAAGAAGUUCAUCUCUGCCAUUGAGAAAUCACAGCCUAGGAGCGGACCUGGACUACUCACGAAUCAGCUUGAUAUUCCACGAAACAGCACUGACUUCAGAGAAAAGUCUAGACCCAGCACAGAUCAAAGAGAGAAAACCAGAAUGAGCGUUGAUAAGAGAGAAAAGCCAAGGAUUAGUACGGACUGUAGGGAAAAAGUUAAAGUUGCAAAUGCUCAUGGAGACAGGUCAAGAAAGAUGUUAGAUCGACCGGAUAAGUUGGCUACUUGUGCAGACCAGCCAGAGAAAGCAAGGAACAGUAUUGACCGGUCUGCCUACCAAUUUUGUCAUAGCUGAAACUCAUGCUGUCAUUUUGCUAUCCUCUCAUUUCUUUUCCCUGAAGUUCAUUUCAUAGCAUAUCCAUUAACAUGUUUACAAUGUCUUCUGAUAAUUUUGAGCAUUGUACUCUCUUGCAGGUUUGGGGACAUGGUGAGAUCGGUUGGAUUAUGCAAUAUCGAUUGUUUCAAACCCACGGCAACACAUGUAUAGCAGAGCGGUUUUACUCGAGUCGAAGCUUAAUUAUUCGUGAGUGUUUAACUAUUUGUUGGUUGGUUUGGUUGAAGAAGUCUAAAAGUCAUUGGUUUACACCAUUGAAAGUAAAGGUAGGAAAUUGAUUUAACCAAGGAGUAUUUAUGCAUCUUAUAUAUGCUCACAACUAAUAAAUCUAACCCUUCUCCCCCUUCUUUCAAAGUUUGAUUGUGUUUGGUGUGUGUUAACUUUGUUACCAUCUCCAACUCUUAUAGAAAUGGAGUGUUCUUCCUUCAGAAGCUUGUCAUUCAAAACUCUCUACACAAGAAGAAAAAAAAUGUUGUAUUUUUUCUUUCCCUUUUGGGAAAAUGAACAAGUUUGGAAUGUUCUUACUCUUCAUUUGGGAAUGUAAAAUCUAAUUUGAACUUGUGUUGGAAAGGGGAAAUAUGAGAAGUACUUUAUCUUGUUUUAGUAUUUCAGGCCACUUUAUUUUCUCCAUUUAUACUUUACCCUACUCUGUUUUGUUGCUGUUGUUUCAAGUAGUACAAUCAAUUUUUAGAAUGUUGUUGAGUGGAGACUUAAUUGAAACUUUUUGAAAAGAUAUAGGAAUGAGAUUGAAGCUCUAUGGUUUUAGAUUAGUUAAUGUGUAUUGUCUUUGCCAUUAUCCUCUAGGCUCUAAUGUUGGAUUCAUUUUAGUCUAUAUUUAGACAAAACUUUAUAUUAACAAAUGUUAAUAGAAGAUAUAUGAUAUUUUUUGGUUUGUGCGAGAUUGUUUAAUAACAAGGCAAAGAUAAAUUUCUCUCUACUUUGUCCUAAAAGUUUGGUUGAUAAAAGUACUUCAAAAUCUUCUAUAAACCCACCAUUUAUUCAAAACAAUAUGUAUUAGUUUAAGAUGCAAAUAAAGUAACUCUUGCUCUUGUAACUUUGACAUCUUAUCGAAGUCAUUCUUAUACGAGAAAUUGUACCUUCUUGUAUAUUGUGAAUAUGACCCGUCUAACCGCUAUUAGAGGGUCAUCUGUUUUUAAAUUUGUUAUUUUUGUAAUUUAAAAAAUGUAUGAUGUAAGUCGUGUUAUUACAAUUUUUUUGCUAUUUUUGCAAAUGCCCAUUCUUAUAUUAUUUUUUCCGACCACUAUUGAUAAGAAGAUUAUGAUGUAGUAAUCUCUCUCGUACUUAUGUUAACCUAAAAAUGCCUAAGACGGAAAGAAGUAAAUAUGAGCAAAUGACUAAGUGCUAUAUGUAUUUAAAUAUUAAUGAAAAAUAUUUUAUUGUUCUUGUAUCGAUUUAAAAAUGUUACAAUUUUAGUUGUUGAAUAUGGUUUCAAUUUAGUUUUUUUAUUUUAAAAUUAAACGAUUAUACUACUAAAAGUGACAAUUUGAUCUCUAAAUUUCUAAAUUUACAUAACCUCAAAUUUUUUUCCGGCUAAAUAUUAAGCGUCGAUAUUAACAUCUACUAUUAAUUAUUUCAAAACAACUUAAAUAAUUUUUUUUCUUACUAUUAAAAUCAAUUUUAACGUUUUAUAUUUUCAAAUAUAGCAAAAAUAAUCAAAAGAUAUUCAAUAUAUUGUAAAAUACCACCUUUGUUAGACUCUUAUUUAAUUACGAUAAAGAUGAGACAUUUUUAAAUAUAACAAAGUUAAUCAACAUAUUUACAAAUAAAAAAAUAUAUCUAAACUAUAGACUAUUAAUUAUUAUGUAUUAAUGUGUAUUUAUGGUUGAUAGAAGGUGAAAAUACACAAUUCUUCCUUAAGAGUUAUUGCUUUAACCUAAAAAUAUCCAUAGAUUAUAAACAAACAAUUUUGAUGAAUGAGUUCCAAAUUUUUCGUCAAAAUAUAAAUUUUCCUUGUUUUGAUUAUAAGUACGAAAUAUAUUUCGGAAGUUCACUUCAAUACCUAUGGUUUUGGAAGGGUUUAAGCCUUGUGGCGGCUACUUCUGCUUCGACCCCUUUGAAUUCACUUUGCUUCUACUAAAUUUUCUGUUUAUCCAACUCUUCUCUUCAAUACCACCAAAUUAUGUUCGUACCUUUCUCAUGGAACAAUUUCAUGUAGUUUAAUGCCCUUUUCCGUGUGUUCUUCCGAUUCUAACCAGCAAAGUUCCAUAAUUUUCUUCUAUUGAAACAGCCCACAAAUUCUCAUUAAAAUUCUUCAAUGAUUUCCACGUCUAUGUGGAAAACCAUUGCAAAGCGAGGUAUUUGUAGGAACCGGCAGUUUCAUCCUGAUUGGCGUUGGCUUUCCCGCUUCAAUGGCGUUCUGGGUCGUCCUAACGAGUCUUUAUUUCGCGAUAAAUUGAUUUCUGGUAAUUUUGUUCCUAGUUCACUUCCGAAGUUUGGGUCUUUUGAAAUGGGUGUUGGUCGAAGUGAAAUUUUGUCUCAGGAAGAUUACUAUAGAAGCAGAUUCUGUUUUGGGUCUAUGGGAGCUCGAAUUGGGUUAAAUGGGUUGUGCCCAAAAGGAUAUUCUAGUGUUGCUGAGGCGGUUUCUUCAACAGAUGUGGACGAAGAUGCAUCUGUUGACGGUAAAGUUCAGGAGUCAGUGCAAGAGAUGAGCAAAGAAGAGAAGAGGCUUAAACCGGUGAAGGGAAUGGGGCAAUGGAAGUAUAAUAUGCUGAGGAGGAGGCAGGUGACCAUAGAGGCUGAGGCGUGGGAAAAUGCAGCGAAGGAGUACAGGGAGCUAUUAGUGGACAUGUGUAAACAGAAGUUAGCACCUAAUUUGCCAUACGUAAAGUCCUUGUUCCUUGGCUGGUUCGAGCCUUUUCAAGAUGCUAUAAUUAAAGAGCAAGAAUUAAUCCAGGAAGGGAAGAGAUCUCGAGCUCCAUAUGCUCCUUAUUUUCUUCAAUUACCCGCUGAUAAGAUGUCAGUAAUCACAAUGCAUAAGUUGAUGGGGUUGUUGAUGAGGGGAAGUGAACACGGUAGUGUCAGGGUUGUGCAGGCUGCUUGUGCAAUAGGAGAUGCUAUUGAACAGGAGGUAUGUCGGUUUUGUGAAUGUAGACCCUCUGCCAGGUCUCUAAAGAGUUUAAUGUACUUUCUGGUUUGUUUGUUAGAUCAUUGGAAGUAACUCGAAGAUAGAUAUGAUAUAGAAAAUAAUUGAAGUAAGCUAAGAAGGGAACUUCCUCCAUUUAAUUGAAUUAGAGUUGGGAGAAAAGGUGAUCCUUCCUGUGUUGUUCUGUACUAGUUGCAAUUUCUUUGUUACUUUUUAAGGUUUUACGUUAUCAUUUUCAAAUUCCCAUCUUUUUGUAUAGACCUUACUUGAAGAGGAUCUGUUCUAUAGGUUGUACAUUUGUGUCCUUGAGUUCUAAUUCCCAUUUUUUGUAUAAUAGCUUAAGCUGCAAUAGUUGAAGCAGUAUCUUUUGAGAUUUUUAUUGUGCCUAGGUGCAAUAUGGAAGUUUUUGACUUUUAACUUAGGUUCUCAACAUGAAUUUUGUUCCACAUUCAAUUGUAAGUUUGCAACCAUAAUGUUGUUUAAUUAUGUCAGGUAAGAAUUCACAAGUUCUUGGAGAAAAAGAAAGAGAGAACGCACAACAAAGAUAAUGAGAACAAUGACCAGCCUGAUAUUGAAAGGAAGGAACAAGAGAGGUUAAGGAAAAAAGUGACCAACUUGAUUAAAAAGAAAAAGCAUCUGGCUGCAGGACAGAUAGCGAAGAGAGCCGAUGAUUCAAGACCAUGGGGCAGGGAACUCAAAGCAAAGGUCUGGGUCAUCUUUUCUAUAUACACUUCAAAAACAAUGGUUGCUUGUUAGCAACAUUUCUAAAUACUUGGUGUUUUUAGGUUGGGGCCCGUCUAAUUGAGUUGUUGAUACAAACAGCUUACAUACAACCUCCUGCUGAUCAGUUGGCCGAUGGUCCACCUGAUCCUCGCCCUGCAUUUGUUCACUCAUUGAAAACUUCGGUGAAAGACGGAACGUAAGUCAUUUAUUUAUAUCAAUCAGUCAGUCUAUAAGUUCCCCUGGUUUUUUCCUUUGUGCAUUAAAUCUUUUGAUAUAUAAAAUUGUUUCUUAUAACAUGUUUUACUUACUUGGACUUAUUAUUUUGACACUUCUGUCAGUAAUUUCAUGGGGAGACUUGGUGUCAUUGAAUGUGACCCUUUAGUCGUCAAAGGCUUAGACUGGACUGUAAGUGAAAGCUAUCCAUUUUGUUACUGGAAAAUUGGAUUGUGUCCCAUUCUUUUGCACUUUACUGCUGGACGUUACUAAUGCCAACUUCACAUUUCUUUUUGCAGUUCUCUAACUUGUUUGUUUGGUAGAAAUAGCUUCACAAUGUAAUUGCAUUUGAAAAAAAUUAGUUAAUUUGGCCCACUUCUUUGUCAAUUUUUUAUAUCAUUGGAGUUUUUCCUGCAUUAUGAACAUCCCACGGAACUUUUUGCUGCAUCUUUUCUUGCUAUAUGUUUUAUGGUUGAUGAGUUCUUUUUCUCAAACAGGCAAGACAAAUCGUGAUUCCCUAUAUGCCAAUGUUGAUGCCUCCAGUCAAAUGGAGAGGGUAUGCUAUUUCACUUGGCAUUUGUCUUCAAUCUAUUUUUCAUGUCACUUUCUUGUUAAGAUCAAUUUCCUGUUAGAAUUAAUACUGUAGAGUAGAGCAAAGCUGAGAGCUUGAGACCUUGAAGUGGGUUGAAAUUAUGGAAGCAGUAUUUUAAUAUCUUAUGAGAAUUAGUACUCUUGAACAAAUGUCACGUAUCCAGGCAUCUUGAUUGAGGUCUUUUAAGUGGGUGGAGAUAUGAAAGCAAUGAUGUCCUGAUUUGUGGAAAGUUCGAUGAGAGAUGCAUAACUAAGAAAAAUGAGAAACUUGAAAUGAGUAGACCAAGAAGAACACAAGAAAAUGUCCUUCAACUCUAACCAAUCUGUAGGAGAUAUUUAGCUCACAGUUUCAGUAAUUUUGGGCUUAUGUUCUAUCCAUGAAAAAUAAAUCUAUUAAAACCUAGGUUUGUGUGGUAUAUUUUUGGGUUGUGCAAGAGUAAUAAGUCAUAAAAUUCUUACCUCGUGUUACUUGUGUUUGGUUGUAAGUUUAUGAUGUGUAAAAAUAACCAAAUAGUUUAAAGGGUGUUUUUGUCAACCUAGGGUCAUUAGAGAAAACCACAUUUUUUCUUCUUAAGGAUAUUUCAUGUAAUAUGUCCAUAAUUUUUGCAUUAUUAUUUUUGUAGAAUUGGUAUUCUGCUGACUAAUAAAUAAGAUUGGCAUAAAAUGUUGUUUAUGCAUUGCCAUUAUGUCUAGGUUUGAACCUCAAAUUUUGACAAUAAGCUUUUGCACCUGUGUUUUUUCCCUUUUGGAAACCAAAAUUUUCCUGUUUAGCAUAAGUUUGUUUUCCUCCUGUCACAGCUAUGACAAAGGUGGACACAUCCUCUUACCAUCGUUUGCCAUGCGCACUCAUGGAGCCAAACAACAACGUGAUGCUUUUAAGAGGACCCCAAAGCAACAAUUAACUCCAGUUUUUGAGGUUCGAGAUAUAUAAAUAUUAUAAUUUCAUAUAUCUUUGUGUGUGUGUUCACCACUAUUUGAAUUACUCAGCUAGAAGUAAGCUUGUUGAAUCUUUAUAUUUUGCUUAAACUUAGGCAUGUGAUGCUCUUCCAUCUUUUCCAGGCCCUAGACACACUUGGAAAUACCAAAUGGAGAAUAAAUAAAAGGAUACUCAAUGUUGUGGAAAGAAUAUGGACCAGUGGAGGGCACCUUGCUGGUCUAGUGGAUCAGGAUGAUGUAAGUGGCUUUAUGUCAUCAUUUUUCUUGCAACUACUUUUGAUUCUAAUAUUACUUUGGUUUUUCCCUUUUCAGGUUCCAUUGCCAGAAAAACCUGAUACUGAAGAUGAAACGCUGAUAAAAAAGUGGAAAUGGGAAGUCAGAUCUGUGAAGAAAGAAAAUAUGGAGAGGCAUUCACAACGUUGUGACAUAGAGCUUAAACUUACUGUAUGGUUUCACUUGUUGCAAUAAUUAUAUCUUUUGUAAUUGAUUGUAUUUGUAUAUCCACUUCGUCUAAUUCUUCUUUUGAUGGUGGAAUAGGUAGCACGCAAAAUGAAGGAUGAGGAAGGUUUUUACUAUCCCCAUAACGUAGACUUUCGAGGCCGUGCAUAUCCUAUGCAUCCACACUUGAAUCAUCUCGGUUCAGAUCUCUGCAGAGGUAUAUUGGAGUUUGCAGAAGGUCGCUCACUCAGGAAGUCUGGCCUAAUUUGGCUGAAGAUUCACUUGGCAAAUCUUUUUGCUGGGGGCGUGGAUAAAUUAUCUCAUGAUGGUCGUAUGACAUUUAUUGAGAAUCAUUUAGAAGAUAUAUUUGACUCUGCUGACAGACCACUUGAAGGAGGACGUUGGUGGAUGAAUGCUGAGGAUCCCUUUCAGUUUUUAGCAGGAUGCAUGAAUCUUACUGAAGCUUUGAGAAGCUCUUCUCCUGAAACAUAUAUUUCACAUAUCCCAAUACACCAGGUAUUCACAUAUUGACACCUAUCAUUUUUUUUUCCCACUCUUUCAAAGAAGGAAAAAGUUCCUUUCCACUGGGGAGCAUAUAUUAUAGCUAGAAUUGGUAUUGUUAUGAAAAUAUCUGUAAUUGGGAAAAAGGCUGGAGUGAAUAGACUAAUAGGAGCUCAGCUCAAUCAGUGUACUUUUCUUGCUUUUCCAUCCAAUCUCUAGGACUAUUUGUUGCUCUACUUAUACUUAAAUUCCUCCUUGUGUGUGUAUUUGGCAUCUAAUACGCUUUAACCAUUAGAGAUAUUCUUUGUCCUUUUCUCUAUUCCCUUAACCUGCUCAUAUGUAGUGUUGUUUUGGUCUUUUUUUCGUCACUAGAGUUAAUUCUUCAUUGUACUUAUUCUUUGUAAUUUAGUAUGUUCUUGUGAUUGUGAGUUAUAUUUGGGUUGGUUUUCUUGGUCCCCCUCCACCCUUACAUGCACAACUUUUUUGAAGUUUUAAGGACAUGGGUUUCUUGUUUUCCUUAAAUUUCCUGUGCUCCUUACUCUUUCUUUUUAAUGUGAGAUUUUCUAGGAUGGUUCUUGCAACGGGUUACAGCACUAUGCUGCUCUUGGACGAGACAAGGUAGUUAAUAAUUUUGCAUCCAUUUAUUUCAUAGUGUGUCAGUGAUUGAUAUUUGUCAAUAUUAUUAUUGCUACCUUGAAAGCGCUAAAGAAUUAACUAACAGCAGUAAAAUCCCAAAUCCAUUGGACAUUCUGACUAAAAGAAAUACAUGUGAAGCUUUUGUAUAUCCUGUUCUCAUCAACAAAAGCAAAACAUUUCUUUUAAUAACAGAAACCUAAUGCAUCGUAUUCAGAUGGUUCACUUUUUGUUUCUGCCAUAUUUAGUUUAAAUUUUCACGGAUAUUGUAAGUUGAUUUAUUAACAGCAAAACUAAUUAUAUCCUUGAUUUCUUUGUACUUUCACUUGUAAUUCCUUUACUCCAUCUAGAUUUGCUUCAUCUACCGUUGGCUUCAGAUCUUGUCCUAAUGAAAGUUUUUGGUUCAGUCAGGAGCAGCUGCUGUCAAUCUGGUUGCCGGAGAGAAGCCUGCAGAUGUUUACUCGGGUAUAGCUGCUAGGUAUGUUACAUAAACUUGAAUAUGAAAUUUUUCGUGUCAAAAGCAUGUGAUUUUGUUGCUCACAAUCGCAUUAGUAAAAUUUCAGUACAAAUGCAAUCAUGACAAUAAUUUUAUUUUUCUCCUUGGGUUUUUAAUAUAAUGAGGGAGGGUUCGGUUUCAAUGGAAAAAUUUUAGCUCUUUCCGACCCUUGUAUUUUCUAAGAUGAUCGAUUGUAUGAAACAACAUAGUGGUUUGUUGAAAGGGGUCUUCUCUUUAAAGGAUGUUGAUGCAUUUUCAUUGUUCUGGGCUGUCUUUCAAGGAAAUUACUUAUCCUUAAAUAUUCCCGCCCCGCUGUCUUAAGAAAUAGAGACGUGAAAAAAUCUUUUGAGUGGGGUAGGAGUUAGGGAAUAGGUUUUGGUUGUCUCACAUGGUGCGUGUGCCUGAGCGUGACAAUCAAGAUAUCUGCUUUGGAUUUGGGCAGUCUUACUUCAAAUUAUGUCACAUUUCUGAAGUUUGUUGGAACUUGGGAUCAUCUUCACACCACACUUAAAUAUUGCUAGUAAUUGUGAUGACUUUAACCACUUUGAGGUGGAACAUUGACGAGGCAGUAGUUGAUGCCAGUGGCCUUGCAUGUUUAAAUCAUGUCUAUUUUCAGUUUUUAAUCUCCAUCAAUAAUGGAAAUCAAGUUAAAAUAAAAUUUGAAAGGAUAGAUGGAUUUGCAAGUCCUGUGGCGUCCAUAUUUUCUUGAACUUGUUUCACUUUGCCAUCCAGUCAAUGUUUAGUUGAUGGCAUACUUGGGUUUCCCCUAAUAAAAAAGAAAAAGGAAACAUAGGGAAUUUCGUUCCUUUUGUUAAUUUUCUUUAUAAAUUUUAAAUUUCAUCAGAUGUUACUUGAUAAAAAAACAAGUUAUAAAUACUUGUAUAACUCACGAUGUACCAUGUAUGAAGGAGGAGAAAAAGAAUCUCCCAGCAACGAUUGAUGAAUGAAAAACAUGAUCUCCAACUUUUGUUUGGUAAAAACACUUAAUCUUAAACAUGGAGUCUCUGAUCCUUUUGAGGAAUUUUGAUGAUCCAGAAACAAUGAAACAGACAGUUAUGUCUGAAUUCUCAGUGGGUUUCUUACUUCACCUCAAGGGAUGUACUCGAACCUGAUGUUACUAGUCUUUACAUGUAGCAGUUUGUAAACAAUCUUGAGUCUGUCAGGGACUCAAACUGAUUUUAGAAGUUGGCAUGUUACGAUACUGAUACCAUUUUAUAUAUAUUAUAUAUUUAUUGUUGUAGGGUUCUAGAAAUCUUGAAAAGGGAUGCACAAAAAGAUCCAGAAACUUUUCCAGAUGCAUUGCAUGCAAAAAUAUUAAUAGAUCAGGUUUGCUGCCAACUUGAGAUCUCGGAACAUUGAUCUAUGUAAUUACAGUGCAAAAUGGGAAAGUAUAGACUAAUUGAUGCAAUCACUGAAUAUUUUGUGACCAGAAAAAAACUGGUACUAUGUAGACCUAACUGAUGUUUAUGCUUGCUUUGAUUGUUUUUUAUCCUUAUCAAAACUCUUAUAGGUGGACAGAAAAUUGGUAAAGCAAACAGUGAUGACAUCGGUUUAUGGUGUCACCUAUAUUGGUGCUCGCGAUCAGAUCAAAAGGAGACUGAAGGAACGUGCUGCCAUAUCUGACGAUUCAGAGCUCUUUGGCUGUUCUUGCUAUGCUGCCAAGGUAGGGGGCGGGUCCUUCCAUCUUCAUUUUUGGUGCUUCUUUGAAUUAAAUGUUUGAAUGAGUGGUCAAGUAUUUAUGAAGUUCUGUAACAUAAUUUGUGAGCAGAUCACGUUGGAGGCACUAGGGGAAAUGUUUGUAGCAGCCCGUGAGAUCAUGAACUGGCUUUCUGACUGUGCAAAAGUUAGUUCUUUUCUUUGCAUUUUCCUUUAAGGGGAAAAAAAGCAUUUUGAACUCACCUUUGGCUAUGUUUGGAAAUAAUACGAAGUUUGUAUUCAAAUAGAUUAUUGCCUCAAAAAAUGAAACUGUGCGAUGGACUACACCCCUUGGAUUACCUGUUGUGCAACCAUAUCGCAAGUUGGGAAUACAUGCUGUGAGUGUUGAGGAAUUUAGAUAAUCACUAAAGCUUACCAAUCCUCUUAUGGUAGUAUUGAAGAGAUAUUCGAAGGCAUUAACUAAUCUCUGUUUGGUUUCAGAUCAAAACUUCUCUCCAAGUUUUGACACUACGACGAGAAACGGACAAGGUAGUUUUAUACUUUCACUUGAAACUACUCAUAUUAACAAUGAAUGUUAAAAUUUUCUUUUAAAAAAAUUGAUCGAAAGAAUUUUCUUUGGAUGUUGCAGAUCUUGUCGAGUAGACAGCGUACUGCUUUCCCACCAAAUUUUGUUCACUCUCUCGAUAGUUCUCAUAUGAUGAUGACUGCAGUUGCCUGCAAAAGGGCGGGUUUGAAUUUUGCAGGUUUGUCCUCAUGAAUUACUGUGUUAUGUAGGGUUUCACACUCUACCAGAGCUAACUGCUGUAUGUCAUGCGUAAUAUCAGGGGUUCAUGAUUCAUACUGGACACACGCUUGUGACGUGGAUGAAAUGAAUAGAAUACUUAGAGAGAAGUUUGUGGAACUCUAUGAAACUCCAAUACUCGAAAAUGUAAGGCUUUCCCUACCUCACAUUUCAUUUUGAACAUUAUGAGUAGCAGGUUCCUGUUUGGUUGAUGUAUAUAGUCUUAACUUGUUUGUGAUUCAGCCAAGGGGAAAAGAAGGUUUGGAUAAUUUCAUCUUCUGAAAUUUGUUGCCUCUAAUAUGCAAUAGAUUAACUUAGGAAUACUUCUUGGUUUGAAAGAAAAUGCAAUUGACGUGAGAGAGGAUUAGACAGCUCUUUGGUGAAUUUUUUUCUUCUCUUGAUAGUUUUUUGGAACAUGUGUUCUGUCCACUGCUUUUUCUUGGUGUAAAACUCAGCAUCAUUUCACUCAUUUUAGUUUAUUGUUUUUAGUCAGUAAUUGACACUCCCUUAGGUAAUAUCUUGUUUGCUGGGGUUCUCUGGUUUCAUAUCAAUGAAUUGUUUAUUUUACCAAAAAAAAAAGAAAAGAAAAGAAAAGAAAAGUAGAGAGAAUUACAAUGUCUAUCGGUGAUGACGUGUAAGCUCGUCUUUGGAAUUGGUAGUUUCUUUCUUGCUACUGAUCAGGUAGUUUAUUAAAUUCUUUUUCAAAUUAAUAGGAAGUUACAUCAUCAUGAAGAAUAUUAUUUAUCUAUCUAUUUACCACUGUUAUGUGUUAUACUUAUUGACGGUGUAACUGAGAUCUGACUAAUUGUUUACUCAGUUAUUGGAGAGCUUUGAGCAAUCUUUUCCAGCACUGGAUUUUCCUCCCCUACCCGAACGGGGAGAGUUCAACCUAAAAGAAGUUCUAGACUCGCCUUACUUCUUCAACUAAGUUUAUAUGGGUACAUUUCUCUUCACUCUUGGCUCACUUAACGGGCUCAACCGAGUUUUUCGCGGAAAAGUAUACCUUCUAUUGUACUCAACUACAUCUCAAGAGUAGUGGAUCGUGAUGCUGAGAAUCCCCGGAGCAAACUAGCCACUCCGUUGUAAUAAACAUCAGGUUCUCCUCUCUUAGAAAGCUUACUCAGGUCAACUUCUAAGGAGCUUUCGACUCAAAAUGCAGAAGAAAAUGGUCAGACAAACAAUCCUACGUAUCUUCAACUAGAGCUGCUAGACCAACAUACGGAUAAAAGCAAGAACUUCCCAUCCAUUUUCAUUCAUCAGCGACGUUUAAAAGUCGAAAUUGGCCAUAUUUUCCAGGAAGCCACAAAUGAUUCAAGAUUUCCACAGUAACAAAGGAUUACUUGUAUAUAUAUUCCCCCACUCUAUGAUUAAUAUUAAAUGUGAAAGUAAUGAAGAAAAAAAGAUCUUACCAUUCCCAUUUUCUGAAUUCAUCACAAGUUCUUCAGCUCUGGCUUGCACAUCUCUUUCUAUGUAAAUGUUUGUUGUUUUGCCAUCUGAAUUUUUGUAUUCGUUUCUCUUGUUUGGUAAGGAAAUGAGCUGACAGUAUAUCUAUUUGACAAAUGAUAAGUUGAUUUGCACAAAAGUGUGCUAGUGCUAGUGUUACAUAUCACAUAACAUAUUCUCAUCUUUUAAAUUAUGUGUCAAAUGUUCUAUAUUGUCACUUUCUAUUUGUCAUUAACUCUAAUACUUGUGUAAUCAUUAAACUAAAUUAAAUUUAUGUUACAAAACAAAUUAAAAAUAAAGUUAAAUUACAAUUUACAAUUUUUUAAUCUAACCUUGUGUUAAUUUUGAUCCUUCUUUUAAAUAUUUUCUAAUAGGUACUUUGUUAUUAAAAAUUCAAUAUAAGAUUGAAUUUGGGAUAAGACUAACUAAAAUUACCAAAAACAAUUUACAAAUAUUGUUUUAAAUGAUUUAUUUGACUAACUAAAAUUACCAAAAACAAUUUACAAAUAUUGUUUUAAAUGAUUUAUUUGGUAAUCAAAAUGAAUAACAAUUUUAUAGAGUAAGAUCAAUACUAUAUGUCAAAUCAAAUGCCUUAUGUUUUGAAUAACAUGACAUAAGGGUUGAGUUGGGUUAGCAAAUGAGUCGAUGAGUUGGGUUAGCAAAUGAGUCAACAUAGGAUUGAGGUUGAGUUGGGUUAGCAAAUGAGUCGAUGAGUUGGGUUAGCAAAUGAGUCGACAUAGGAUUGAGGUUGAGUUGGGUUAGCAAAUGAGUCGACGAGUUGGGUUAGCAAAUGAGUUGAGUUGGGUUAGCAAAUGAGUCGAUGAGUUGGGUUAGCAAAUGAGUCGACAUAGGAUUGAGGUUGAGUUGGGUUAACAAAUGAGUCGACGAGUUGGGUUAGCAAAUGAGUCGACAUAAGAUUGAGUUGGGUUAGAAAAUGAGUCAGACAGGCAAGGUCGGGUUGGCCGGUUAUAAUGUAUAUAUAUAUAAAAGCCCCUAUCUUCUCUUCCCAGCCCCCCUUAGCAGACUCUCUUUCCAGCCUUCCAAACGUCUCCUCACCUCCUCAUUUCCUCUGCCAGCAAAAAUCAUCUCCUCCGAUUUUGCCGGUCACACUUGUCACUCUCGUGGAAGCUCCUCCAUGGUCGAUGCUCUCUCCAUCACACUUGGUCCCUUACAGAACUGAAAGGGCCUGAACCCAUUUCGUAAAACUCUGAUUCAGUCACUGACGGAUGACUUCAUGAGUGAAAAUGGGUUACCUAAUUUGCACGGUCGCUCCAUUAUGGCGCUAGAGUAAUUCUUUCAAUGAUGAGGAGAAGGACUCGAAGUGUGUGGUCUGGUCAGUUAUCUCCACUUAAGCAUUGCCAUUAUUUUUUGUUUUUCAGUUCCAAUUUAUCACUCGGACCGACAAUAAAAAUUUGAGAACAGAAUGGUGGGUUAUGGGGAAAAUCCUUCGUUCAUUGUAGGCUACCAAAUUGUUUUUGCAUUUGAUGUAGUGGGGUUUUGUUUUAAUCUUUUGGGUAAGAUUAUUUUGUCUGUUUCUUUUCAAGGAGGUUUGAAAUUUCUCUUGUUCUUAGUGACUGUUUUCUUCUUCUGCAGGCUCACUGAUUUUGAAUGGUUACACCUGGAUUGUAAGCUUCGCUGUUCUUUUUGUGUUUAGAAAGUUAUGAGAGGAGUGCUAGGAAAUUCAUCUCCUACUCUGGUUUUGUUGAAUGAGUUUAAUUACCAACAUGAUUCACAUUACCCUUUUAGAAGGGAGGAUAAGCGUUUGCGUCAAUGUAUAAAUGUUAAUCCAAUGUUGAAAUCAUGGAUGAGAUGUACGAUUAUGUAUGAUGGUAAUGCAGUUUCGGUGUUACCAAGGAGUACUCCACGGUUGAAUUUGGUGGUUCAGUCUACAAGGGGCGUGAAUUGUGGAGAGGAUGAAGCAAUUGAAUUGGUCAUUGACGAAGGAGUUGAAGAAUCCUCUCGUGAGUGGAAAUUGCCUCCUUGGGGAGACAUAGCACAUCAGGAUGAGGCAACCUUUCAAUCUGAAGAUGUAAACCAGCCCAAAAUCUUAGAAGGGAAGGUUUUGGAAAAUGAAAGCAAGCUGCAUUUUCUUGAGGAAACUGAUAAAGUUAUGCUAUCAAAGCGUAUUUUAAUUCUCAGUAGAAAAAAUAAGGUUAGAAGUGCAUUGGAGUUAUUGAGGUCCAUGCAAUUAGCUGGUCUUCUGCCAAGUCUGCAUGCUUUAAAUUCACUUUUAGCUUGUCUUUUGAGGAAUGAGCUAUUUGCUGAUGGUUUAAGAAUCUUCGAGUUUAUGAAGUUGAAUGAGUUAUCAACAGGACACACUUAUAGCCUUGUACUCAAAGCAGUUGCAAAUGCUCAUGGAUUUCUUUCUGCUCUUGAGAUGUUUAAGGCAUGGGAGCAUCAAUGUGUCUUAGCACAGUUUGAUGCAAUUGUUUACAACACAAUGAUAUCAAUAUGUGGUAAAGAUAAUAAUUGGGUUGAAGCUGAGAGAACAUGGAGACUAAUGGAGAAAAAUGGUUGUAGUGCAACCCGCAUAACUUAUUCUCUAUUGGUGAGCACUUUUGUUCGAUGUAACCAGAAUGAACUUGCAAUUGACACCUAUGUAAAGAUGGUUCAAAAUUCUUUUAAACCAGGUAACGAUACGAUGCAAGCUAUUAUUGGUGCAUCUUCAAAGGAGGGGAAGUGGGAUUUUGCUUUAAGAGUCUUUCAAGACAUGUUGAAAUGUGGACUUCAACCUAAUUCGGUUUCAUUUAAUGCCUUGAUCAAUGCUUUAGGAAAAGCUAAGGAGGUCACUUUAGCAUUCAGCGUAUACAAUGUGAUGAAAUCUAUGGGUCAUUCACCUGAUGUUUAUACAUGGAAUGCACUACUUGGUGCUCUUUACAAAGCUAACCGCUACAGUGAUGCCAUUCAUCUCUUUGAGUUUGUGAAAAGAGAGAAGGUCCAAUUGAAUAUACAUAUUUACAACACUAUUCUAAUGUCUUGUUCAAAGCUUGGGUUAUGGGAAAGAGCGGUCCAAAUUUUAUGGGAAAUGGAGGUUUCUGGUCUGUCAAUUUCGACAUCAUCAUAUAACAUUGUUAUGACUGCAUGUGAGAUGGCUAGGAAGCCUGAAAUUGCAUUGCAAGUUUAUGAACGCAUGGUUCACCAGAAGCACACUCCCGAUACCUUCACUCAUUUGUCACUUAUCAGAUGCUGCAUUUGGGGAUCUUUAUGGGAUGAAGUGGAACUACUUCUAAAUGUAAGUGCUUAAUUCUAUAACUGUGUUGGUUCUGUAUCUUUGUACUAUUUUAAAGGCACACAGAUCUUCCCCAAUAGAAAUUUAGUUCUAACUUUCCCCCCCGUAGUUCUCCUUCCAUCUUUGGUAAAUUUAUGUCUUCCAUGCAAAUUAAUUCAAUACUCUAUUUUCCAAGGGUGAGUUGAAAAACAUCAUGAAUCCAUGUAAUUGAAUUGGAAAAGGAGACCUCCAAUCUAACCACAUUAUGGUUUUUGAGUUUUUAUUUAUAAGAAACAAUAUCAUUGAAUGAAUGAAAUAUCCAAAGAUAUACAAAAUAACCCUAUCAAAGGGUAUACAUAAAGAUGCUUCCAAUUUGAAAUGAGAAAAGAGAAAUUAUGAUUCUUUAGUGUGUAUCCUUACACCAAAAAGGGAAUUAGUAGCAGCUAACUCUAAGACCUCCCUGGAAGACUUGACGUUGUCUUGAAAUAUCCUUGCAUUUCUUUCUUCCCAAUCCUUCCACAAAAUAGCUGAGAUGAUAUUCUAGAUACCUUUUUUUGUCAGCAUUGAAAGGAUGAUCAAUAAGCAAGAACGUUAUAUGACUAGUGGAGUGAUGCUGCUGUUCCAGAACUUUGAGAUUGUUUAAUGUUAUUGCUGCUGCCGCCUUGAAUGUUGUUGUUGGUUUUUUUCCCGAUGAUCUCAUUCGACAUUUCCUGAUAUUCUCUCAAUAUUUCUGAACCUCCCUCGUUUUCAUUCAACUGUUUUGACAUUUUGCAUUGGAAUUAUGAGCUUUUUGUAUCUGAUAAUUGUUCUUCUGCAGAAGUCUGCACCCGAUGUAUCCGUAUACAAUGUUGUCAUCCAAGGAAUGUGCUUAAGAGGCAAGAGUGAUUUAGCGAAAAAGCUUUACACAAAGAUGCGUGAAAACGGUAUCCAACCGGAUGGAAAAACACGAGCUUUGAUGCUUCAGAACUUGCCAAAGGAUCCUGCUAGACGGAAGAACAGGUGGGCUUCUGGUUUCAAGAAAAGACAGAGACACUAUCAUCAUAGGUGAAAAUUAAUGUAAAAGUUGGUGUGUAUGAAGUACAUAUUGUACAUACUUAAAUCUAGCCCAUGGCCUUUGUUGUUGUACAGCUGAGAAGAACGAUUAGUUAAUUGAAUGUGUUGACUUAUAAUUCCAUUUACAACCUAUUUUCUCCUAUCCUAAUUCAAACUUUGAAAUUCAAUUUUGAACCAUAUUUUUUAAAAUGUUUAAUUCUCACCUGAUCUUUAAGUUCAAAUCUUUACAAUAAAAUUUUAUUUAACUAAAAAGAAAAUGUUAAUUUAUUACCUAAUCUUAAAUGUUUUUAUUAAUUAAAACUCUAAAUAAAUAAUUAUACUAAUUUGAACUUUCAUUUUGCAAUACACUCUCCCUUUCUCUUCCCUGUGAAUUUGAUUCGGUUAGAUUUCGAAUACUUUGUCACUUAGAACUCUACCCAUGAAGCUUAUUAGAAAAUAGCCAUGGCGGCAACUUCAAAAUCCCUCUACAUAUAUAUAUAUAUAUAUAUAUAUAUAUAUAUAUAUGUAUGCAUAAGCUUCUUUUUAUAUUUGAAAACUCUAAACGAUGAAGAUGAUGAUAUUUACAAAAUUGCCACUCGUGAAGAAUUUACUUAAAUGCCAUUGGGCAUAAUUAUGCAAUUGCCCUUAACUUAGAACAACUAAAUAUUUUGCAAUUUUGUGUUUUAAUUUAGCUUGUGAUAAUUUGUAUUUGAUUUCUAAUUUCUAAUUAUUUGACAUUUAAUAGUGUGUUAUUUCUAUUUAAUUGUUAUAACUUGUAUUUGCGUUCUUCAUCUGGGUUAUCUUAUUGUGAAGACUUUCUUGUCAGCAUUCUUUUUCAAUCACUUAAAACAUAAACCGAAUUAGAAAUUAGUAUAAAAUAGUAAUGAGAAGGUAACCACAUGAUCGUUAGAAAGUGUAAAAUGAUAUUGUACAAGUAAUAAGAUAUUAGUCACGUGGUAAUCAUAAAGUAAUGCUAUCAGAUGACUACCUAAAUUUAAAACAACAUAUAUGUAUCAGACAGUCAUUAGUCUAUUAUAAAGCUAUCAGACAUAUAUAAAAAAACUAUCAAAGGGCUACCCAAAUUUAAAACAGCUCAUAUGUAUAAUGUAUUUGGCUAUCACAAACUAAUUUGUUAUAUCAUACGACUAUGAGAAGUUUAUCAUACAAAUUUUAAAACUAUAAAAAAGGCUACCAAAUUUAAAACAACACAUAAGUAUUAGACGACUAUAAAAAAUAAUUAGAUAUAUGAAACAACUAUGAAAAUGCUAUCCAAAUUAAGAAGAAGAAUGAAUUAGCACGCAAUAAAUUCGAAACGAGGGUAGUUUCGUUUUUUCUUUUCGGUUCAUUGACGAUUUUAAGUUGAAUUUAUAAAUUUGUUACUUUUACAAUUUAAAAAACGACAUGAAUUUUAUCGUAAAUGUUUUGCUACUUUUACAAACAUCUCAUUUUUUCUUUUAAUAAAAUAUACAAAUAUUUGAGAAUUAAUUACGCUAUGUAAUUCUAAUAAAUAUUCUAAAUAGAUUCUCUAGUGCAUAAACAUUGUAAUUGUUUAGCGAUCAUUAAAAUUAUUUAUAAAAUAUAGUAAAAAAUCGGACAAAAUAGUGUCUUGAUUUUUAGAGAUUACGUUGAUUUAUGGAAUGGAGAUAUUUUUGUAUGUAUAUAUUUAUAUUUUACAAAUUUUUGAUUUAAAAUAAGUUAUAGGUUAAUAACAUAAAAAAAAAAAGAAAAAUUGUCAUGAAUAUAUAAAAAGAAAAACUUUAUGGCGAAUAUAACAAAAAAUUGAUGAGUUUUGCUUUUUAUAUUUUUGCUAAUUUUUAAAAUGUUAAUGAAAAAAAUACAUAAAAUUAGUUGUUGAAUUGGCAAAAGAGAAAAAAUAAAAUAAAAAAUCGACCGAAAAUUUGUUGUAUGUUGGGAAGAAGAUGAUCCGCAGCUGUUAUUCCAUUUCUUCUUGAUUCAAUUUCCAUCAAUUCUCAAUCUUCAUGAUGAAAUUCUGUGAAAAAUGAAGCAUCUUCCUCUCGAAUUCUUGCACGGUUUCCGCCAGAUCCUAUACGCCUUCCUACACAAAGCUCCAUUGCUUCUUCUUCUUCAUCAAAUCCCCUUUUUUUCAUCUGAAUUCUCUUCUGAUUUCUAGGGAUUUCUACUCUCAUCUUCCUUUACCUGUUUUACUUUCUGGGUUUCUUUCUUUCUUCCUCAUGAACCCACCCUUGUCGAUGUAGCGAUCUUCUUGAUGUCUCUUGUCGAGCGGCUUCUGAAAUUACAACCCUGAACUCUCGGAACCAAAUCAAGGGGAUUUGUGAUUCAUCCAAGCGUUACUCAAGGAAAGAGGGGUUGUGAAGUUUAUGCUAGCUUAGUGUGAUUAUGGUGAGUAUGGUCAAAGACGGGAAGGCUGGAAGUGCUGCUAAGCUUAUAGUUGAUGCUCUGCUUCAGCGGUUCCUCCCCCUUGCUCGGCGUCGAAUCGAGACCGCUCAAGCUCAGGUUCAGUUUUUGCUUUUGUUUCCCCUCUAGAAAAUUUCAUGGGCAGUUCUCUUAGUCCCCCAUCUCAAAUAAGAAGAUGAAGAAUGGGUUAUAAUAAUCAAUUUUGUUGUAAAUUUGAAGUUUUUUGAUGGUGGUUGUUUGUGUAAUAUCCUCUCUGAUGAAUCAAGGUUGUAUAGCGUAUAUUUUCUGGAACUCCAAUAGAUUGUUUUCUGUUUUUCUGGGUGCCAUUAGUCCAGUGCUUAUUGAUGAGUAUAUUGUAUUGUUGUUCUCUGCAUUCUGAUGGCAGCACGUAUUGAAAUCCAUUUUUCAUGCCCAUUUUUGUUGUCUAAUACUUUUUAGUCUUUUGUAAACAGUCCUCCACUUUAUUAACUUGUCUGUUUCCAAUUUGUAGGAUGGACAAUAUCUUCGACCAUCGGAUCCUGCCUACGAGCAAGUGCUGGAUUCCUUAGCUAUGGUUGCGAGACACACACCUGUGCCUCUUUUAGAGGCUCUUCUUCGAUGGAGAGAAAGGUGCCUCAACUUUUCCAGUCUUCUUUCUAUUUUCACGCUUCCUUCUACUCUGUGUGACGACCUUAACAAAUCAACACAUAUAUUUGUUCUAUAUGUUGUACAACUGUGUCUUUGAGUUUCUAGGGGAACUUUUUGCGUCUGCCUUCUUUGUUAGUGUCAGUUUAUUAGGUUGAACCAAACACUAACUUGCUUUUCACGGAAAAUUGGAAUUAGUUUAGGAGAAAGUCUUUUUCUUUUAUUAUUUAUUAUGUAAUAUUUGCUUAGCUAACAUUCGUUGACGACGUCUAAUUUUUUGAAGCUUUUUAGAAAAUGAAUACAGGCAACUUAUCGUAAUUUUGUUGCAUGUAUCUGUGUGUUGAUUUUCUUUAUUUUUUUAUGAUCACAAACAGCGCCCUACAAAUUAAUAAAACGUAAAUUGUUCCUGAAAAAUUCAACUAAAAUAAGAUGAUAAACAUUCUCAUGUCAAGGAAACUGAGAUUGUGAAGAAGUUUCUAUUGGCAGUGUAGUUAAACAGAUGUCUCAUUUCCUGCACCUAGGUUGUUGUUGCGCUUAAUAAUAGAUUCCUUCCAUUUCCUAAUAUAUAUUAUAAUGAAAUAAUAAAACAUGUAUAUAUAGAUACACAUUAUGACGAUGGCCUAUAAUGGGAGUGUGGAUGUUCACAUGGAGCUAUUUUGUAUAGUUUUUGACUUUUGUUCUUUAAAGUUCUCCAUCCUUUUGCCUUGAUGUUUGCCCUUUAAGAUAUUUUUCUAGGCUAAGAGACUGCAGUCAAAGAAAACUUUUUCUUCCAAAAGAGAAAAAAAAGGGAAAAAAGAAAGAAAUUCUUUUGAUGGUUUAUUUAUAUUUUCUCUUUCCCCCCUCAUUGCAGCGAAUCUCCCAAGGGUGCAAAUGAUGCAUCUACUUUCCAAAGAAAGGUUUGCUUAUUCUGUGAAAACUAUUUAAUAUUGCUGUCGUUAUUAUUUUGUUUCAAAAUAAUUUGUACCAAUAGAGAGAUGGAUAGUGUUUUUGAUAUGGGGGUUACUUUAAAAUCCCUUGUCCAGAGAUGUUUGCUUUAUUAACUUGAAGUUAUAAUGAUAUGCAUGCUUGGGGCUUAGCUUGCAGUUGAGUGCAUAUUUUGCUCAGCGUGUAUUCGCUUUGUGGAGUGCUGCCCUCAGGAAGGACUUACUGGUGCGCACAUUGUUGUAUCAAUUUUUUUUUGUUUUUUUCUCUUUUUUCUUUUGUAGCUAAUUGAUAGCGGUUUAUCAUUGUAGAGAAGCUUUGGUCUGGCCUUGAAAACUUCGUUUUUGAUUGGCUAAUUAAUGCUGACAGGUAAGGUUGCUUUGGCAUAGUUAAUGAACAAUGCAGUUUUUUAUUUUCUUUUUGGCGUGGGUAUAACGUUUCAUUAAAAUAAAUAGACCAUAUGAAAUUUAGUAAUUGCUUGAAUGACUUCAAAAUUUCCUUUCCUUAUUGUUGAUUUUUUCCAUAUACAGUGGUAAGUGCUAUUUUAUUAUUAUUAUUUUUAUUUUUUUUAAAAAUGUUCUUUUGUUUUUUUGUUUUUGUUUGAGUUUUGGUGGUUUUGUUUUGAGUCUUGCCUUGAUACUGAGGAUAGGAGUUUGGUAACUUGCAACUUUUCAAAUAUCAACGAAAGUUUUGCGUUUCAUGUUCAAAAAGAGAAAAGAAAGAAAGAAAGCCGGAGGAUAGCAUUGAAGUUUUGCUUGUGCAGUGUUAUUAUUCUUCAAUUUUCACCAGUAACUUAUAAGUAUUGUUAUUAGAUUUAUCGCCUUUGUUUAUUAGGCAGGACCUAUGAUCAUUAUUAGACAAUGACUUCAAUGCCCAGUUAUAGGCAAACAAUCUAGGGAGACUUGCUUGUAUUUAUACCUUCUGUUUUCAUUAUUGAAAGGAAACAAAACUUAGGUUUGGUUAAAUGUCAUUGCAGGGUUGUCAGCCAGGUUGAAUAUCCAUCAUUAGUUGAUUUGCGAGGGCUUCUUUUGGAUCUUGUUGCACAACUUUUAGGUGCUUUAUCUCGCAUCAGGUAAACAAUUUUGUUUUACCAUUUAAAAAUUGUUUGAGUUGGAUUUUUUGGGUGUAAUACUUUUGGAGUAAUUAUCGGGUUUACGUAAGCAUUUGUUUAUCAUGCAUGCAUGUCAAUUGAUACUUGCUUUAUUUUAAUGUUUUAGGAUCAGUAUGAACUAGUUCUGCUUUGCACUUCUCUCUCCCAUCACAAGCUUAUGUUUAUAUUUGUUUUACUUUAAUUAAAAGGGAUGAAAACAUUGGUGCCUGUGUCAUUAUUUUGCAGAUUUAGUUCUGUGACUGAACGCUUCUUCAUGGAACUCAAUACACGUAGGAUAGACACCAGUGUUGCACGAAGUGAAACUCUUAGUAUCAUCAAUGGGAUGCGCUACCUUAAGCUUGGGGUAUGCAUAUAGCUUUUAUUUAUGCAAGGUCAUGUAAGGACAAUGACAUACUUUUAUUUAUGCAAAGUUAUCUAAAGAUAAUAGGAUAAUAUCAACUACAAUUCCUAGGUUAAGACCGAGGGAGGACUGAAUGCAUCUGCCUGCUUUGUGGCUAAAGCCAACCCUCUCAAUCGUGCUCCACAUAAGCGCAAAAGUGAGCUUCACCAUGCACUCUGCAACAUGCUUUCAAACAUCCUUGCUCCACUGGCAGAUGGAGGUAAAGGCCAAUGGCCACCUUCUGGGGUCGAACGUGCACUUACCUUAUGGUAUGAAGCUGUUGGACGAAUUCGAACACAGCUGAUGCAUUGGAUGGAUAAACAGAGCAAACACAUAACUGUAAGUGGGAUCUGUUUUGCUCCCUCCUGUGAGAAAUUCAAUAUUUUAUUUUAUACAUUAAAGCUAUAAAUUUGGGAUGGAGUUUCAGUUUUUUCUUUUUUGGCUCUUUGGCAUGAAAAUUUUGUGUCUGAAGAGUCAGCCUUAAUUACCUAAACUAUACUCCGGAUAUACUGUUUGGAGUUAAAUAUAUGCUAAAGUAAUUAUAUUUCUAACAGCUAGAUACUGCUAAAAAUUGGUUGGUUAAAAGAUAGUUUCCCAAAUUGAUGAGAUUGUCUUCUCUGGGAAUAGCUAAGCAAUACUUUGGUUGGCUAGAUAACUAUGAUGGCGUCAUAAUAUUUUUGGAUUUUUUAUGUUAACAUUCUUCUUCAUAUCCAUGUCUGUUUUUCCUCUUGUGCUUUACGCUAGUGUUCUUUGUGUUCUAGGUUGGUUAUCCAUUGGUCACUCUUCUUCUCUGUCUUGGCGACCCUCAAAUAUUUCACAACAACUUGAGUCCCCACAUGGAGCAACUCUACAAGCUUCUUAGAGUAAGUUCCAUUUACUUUUGAACUAAGGAGGUAAAUGAGAACUUCAACUAAUUCUAAUAAGAUCCUUGACACUUUUUCAAUGUUUGAUGUGGGAAGUUUCUUCAAAAGGAGACUGAAAUAUGCCAUCCUGUUUCCAUUGCCCAAAUUCACGAAACUUUAUUUUGAUUGUGCAGGACAAAAAUCAUCGAUUUAUGGCCUUGGACUGUCUUCAUCGGGUUUUAAGGUUUUACUUGAGUGUUCAUGCAGCUAAUCAGGCCCCAAAUCGUAUAUGGGAUUACUUAGAUAGUGUGACAUCUCAACUGCUUACGGUUCUAAAGAAAGGAUUGCUUACUCAAGAUGUUCAACAUGAUAAACUAGUUGAAUUUUGUGUGACUAUUGCGGAACAUAAUCUUGAUUUUGCCAUGAACCACUUGUUGUUGGAACUAUUAAAACAAGAUAGUUCUGGUGAGGCAAAAGUCAUCGGCCUUCGUGCUCUCCUUGCCAUUGUUACAUCUCCUUCAGGCCAGCACACUGGCUUGGAGAUAUUUAGAGGUAACCAACUAGUUAGGAGCCUCUGUUGUCAAAAUCUUUGUUUUCUUAAUCUAAUCAACUUUGUUGCAUUAGCAGGUCAUGAUAUUGGCCACUAUAUUCCCAAGGUGAAGGCAGCAAUUGAAUCAAUUUUAAGGUCUUGUCAUAGAAUAUACAGUCAGGCUCUUCUAACUUCUUCAAGGACCAACAUUGGUAAUUUGUUUUCAUGUUUUACAUGUUGGUUUGAAGGAAGAUAGUAGAAUGAGAAAAAGGAUAAACCAUGGAAAUCUAGCCUGAUUAUUGUUCUUAUUAUUGUUAAUGUUGUAAUCCUUACUAUUAUGCUUCAGGUCUUUGAGGUGCAUAAUAGGAGAGUCUGCUUAACUUGAUAAUAAGAUGAGAUUACAAAAGUGUACUUGGUGCUUACAUGUUUGGCAUGAUGAACACCUUACUGCUAAAUUAUGUUGUCUGAACUGCCAUAUAAGAGUCAAAAGUAAAAUCUUCAACAUUAAAUGGUUUUGAAUCAGCACCCCAGGAAGUAAUCCUAGUUUUAAUAAAUCUAUAAACGUGGUUUUCUUUGUACAUAAUUUUAAAAAAUCCUGUGAUUAUAUCUGAAGUUAGUGAAGAACCACAUGCUACCUACAAAACUUUUCUUCUUUGUGAAGUUGACAAUCUCCAAUUAUCGGAUCUUGUGAAUUUAUAUUUGUUUUAGAUGUUGCGUGCUACUGACAAGAAUGGUUCGGGUCUCUUUUGUUGGUAUUGUUUUGCCUGUUUCAUGACAUGCUAAUUUAAACUUUAGAUCGUUUAAUCUUUAACAUUUCUCUUCUUUCUAUAGUUUAAUGUUUGUCUACUCAAGUUAAACUUAUCACUUGAUCUUAUCUUUCCUAUAGUAAAAGAUCCAGCUUUUUAUUUUUUAUGGGAAAAUGAAAAAUUAAUUAUUCUGUUUUCAGAUUCUGUAACAAAGGAGAAGUCCCAAGGAUAUCUAUUCCGGUCAGUCCUGAAGUGCAUACCGUAUUUGAUCGAAGAAGUUGGAAGAAGUGAUAAAAUAACUGAGAUAAUACCUCAGCAUGGAAUUAGUAUUGAUCCUGGUGUUCGUGAAGAAGCAGUUCAGGUAUUGAACCGGAUAGUAAGAUAUCUUCCUCAUCGUCGCUUUGCAGUAAUGCGAGGGAUGGCUAACUUCAUCUUACGGCUUCCGGAUGAAUUUCCACUUCUUAUACAAACAUCACUGGGGCGCUUAUUGGAGCUAAUGCGAUUUUGGAGAGCUUGUUUGAUUGAGGAUCGUUUGGAAAAUGAUGUGCAUGAUGAAAAGCGCACAGUUCAAAGAACUGAUGGGUUCAAGAAGCCGUCAUUUCAUCAGUCAGGAGAAGUAGUUGAAUUUCGUGCUUCUGAAAUAGAUGCAGUUGGUUUGAUCUUCCUUAGUUCUGUGGAUAGUCAAAUUAGGCAUACAGCAUUGGAGUUAUUACGCUGUGUACGUGCCUUGCGGAACGACAUUCGAGACCUUGCAAUGCUUGACCAACCAGAUUAUACUCUUAAAUAUGACGCCGAACCAAUAUUUAUCAUAGAUGUCCUAGAGGAGCAUGGGGUAUUUUUCUUUCAAUGUUUUUUGCAUGUCUUUGCUGUUUUUUUUCACUUUACCCACCGAACUGCUAGGAUUUGAUGAUAUGUCAAACUUGAUUUAUCAACUACAGGAUGAUAUCGUUCAAAACUGUUACUGGGAUUCUGGGCGCCCGUUUGAUUUGAAGCGAGAAUCUGAUACAAUACCUCCAGAUGUUACUCUUCAGUCCAUAAUAUUUGAAAGCCCUGAUAAGAACAGGUGGGCACGCUGUCUCAGUGAGUUGGUUAAGUACUCUUCUGAGCUGUGCCCAAGUUCUGUUCAGGAAGCAAGGUAAAUAUUGCCUUUCUCAAAAUUAUGCUUUCUUGACAAUUAUAAUUUAAAGAAUUGGGCCUAAUCUUGUAUGAGUUGCUCCCAACAUGGAACCCUAUUAUGUCUCUCUGAGAUUUAAUGGCCAAUAUUGAAAGUUUCUACUCCAGGAUGUGCUUUGUAAACAAAAUUUUGGUUGGCAGGGUUGAGGUUUUGCAACGUCUUGCUCAUGUCACACCAGUUGAUUUAGGUGGAAAGGCUCAUCCAUCUCAAGAUUCAGACAACAAAUUGGAUCAGUGGUUAAUGUAUGCGAUGUUCUUAUGUUCGUGCCCACCAGCUCCCAGAGAAAGUCCUGCCUCGGGAAAAGCCAAAGAUCUUUAUCACCUUAUUUUUCCUUCAAUAAAGUCUGGAUCAGAAUCCCACGUGGUGAGCACAUUUUCUAGAUAAAUUUUCUGCCUCAACUUUCCAUCUUCCUUUCCCUUUUUUGGGCCUCUUAUGGGUCGUCAAUUGUUAAAAUUGAAUUUGUAAGUUUGCUUGUUUAUUACCUAACUACAUUAAAUUUACCUAUUGAUACUGAAGUUUGUCAGUGUUCCUAUUUCAGCAUGCAGCGACCAUGGCUCUUGGCCACUCGCAUUUUGAAGCAUGUGAAUUAAUGUUCAGCGAGCUAGCAUCUUUUAUUGAUGAGGUUUCCAUGGAGACGGAGGGAAAGCCAAAAUGGAAGGUAUUAUCCAAGAUUUAAUCGAGGUGCAUUAUCCUUUAUUAAAUGAUAUUUGUGAAGCAGUGUCAAAAUUUGUACACUGGGAGUGUAGAUAAUUACAGAAGUACACUGGGAGUGUAGAUAAACUAUACUUACAAAAAGGUUGUCUAAUUUGCACCAAGAUAAUGCAAAAAUGGAAAUAGAAUCUUCUGAAUCAGAAGAAGUAAUACUCACUAAAGCCAAAUUUUUUUACUCACAAGUAUAAUCCAAACAAUGGAAUUGGAACAUUGACCCAGUAGAAAUAUAGUAUUUUUCUUUAUUGUUUCAUUAUGGAAUUUUCAUAUGAGACAACAAAAACAAGUAAGUAACUGAGAAGAAGAAGGAAGAAUUAAAAUCCACUUGUCACCAGUUUAGAAUAUCUAGCAACCAUUUUAGAAUAUCAAGUAAAGAAGACCACUUUGUUACCUUUGUCAUUUUAAUUUCUUCUAAAAUUUUUCUUUUUCUGACUAGUAGGAGUUUUCUAAUAAUUACUUUUUUUGAGAUAUCAGUAUUUUUCAUGUUGGUUUAUCAAUUAUGGGCAUACUUGUAGUUUAGUCUCUGGCUCUUGUAUUAUUUGGAGUUCAUUGCUUCUUUUGUUUGUUUUUCUUUUUACUUCAUUUGAGAGUUUGUAUCUUUAUUUUUCAUUUUUUUGUAUAUCAAUGAAAAGUUUGUUUCUUGUUUAGUAAAGGUCUAAACAAUUGUAUCUGGUACUUCUUGUUCUUCAAUUUAUUUCUUGGUCAUUAUUAGUUGUCCAGUUGUGAUUUGUGAUCUAUUUUGUUAUUUUACUUUCCCUCGAAUGAAACUAUUUUUGUAGAUAAAGCUGAAUUAGUUGAAUGUCAUACAUGCAUGGUUUUUCCCUCAUUCAUCUACUUGAAGUUCCUUUAAGGAGGGCCAAAUAAGUUUGUUGCAUUUAUUAUUAUGAUGAAAGUCAGGUCAAUGUUGGGAAGAUGUGCAUUUAUUUUUCCCCAGAGUACUAGUUGCUUUCUGUUAAAGUUUCUUCUUAUGGUGACUUACUGACUUCCGUACUUACAGAGCCAAAAGCCGCGCCGUGAGGAGCUUCGUACUCAUAUUGCAAGUAUAUAUCGUACUGUUGCAGAGAAAAUCUGGCCUGGCAUGCUGGCCCGUAAAUCAGUUUUUCGUCGUCACUAUCUCAAGUUCAUUGAUGAAACAACCAAACAAAUCUUGACAGCACCUUUGGAGAGCUUUCAGGAAAUGCAACCUCUUCGUUAUUCACUUGCUUCUGUUCUGAGAUCCUUAGCCCCAGAAUUUGUUGAUUCAAGGUCAGAGAAGUUUGACCUUAGAACUAGAAAACGGUUAUUUGAUCUUCUACUCUCCUGGUCUGAUGAUACAGGCGGAACAUGGGGCCAGGAUGGGGUCAGCGAUUAUAGACGUGAAGUAGAACGUUACAAAUCUUCUCAACAUGCUCGGUCGAAAGAUUCAGUAGAUAAGAUAUCAUUUGAUAAAGAACUUAGUGAACAAAUUGAAGCAAUCCAGUGGGCCUCCAUGACUGCUAUGGCCUCACUCUUGUAUGGACCCUGCUUUGAUGAUAACGCGAGGAAAAUGAGUGGCAGGGUCAUUUCUUGGAUAAAUAGUCUUUUUAUUGAACCUGCACCUAGGGCUCCUUUUGGUUACUCACCAGCUGAUCCGAGAACUCCAUCAUACUCCAAGUCCGUCGAUGGUGGUCGUGGCACUGCUGGUCGUGAUAGGCAAAGAGGGGGUCACAACCGUGUCUCUUUAGCAAAAUUGGCUUUGAAGAAUCUCCUGAUAACAAAUUUGGACCUGUUUCCCGCUUGCAUUGAUCAGGUGAGUAUACCUUCUAUGACUUAUUGUUAAAAUUCAACUGUGAGCUCCUUAUAAAAGAAAAAGUUUAAAUUCAACCGAGUUCUCUUUUAAAGGUUAUAAAUUGAAAAGAGAGUUUUUGAUAGGAUAUUAGGAUGUGUCAGUAUUCAUACAUUUUGUGGAUAUUUUUGUGCUCUCAAAGGAAAAGGAAAAGGCUAAAACUCCAAGAAUGAAAUAUAAAGGGUUUUGAUUAUUGAGUUAUAAUGUUGAAACAAGAAUCAUAUGGUCAAGUGUAAGGAUUAUGAUUAUUGCUUGAUUUAUUAGAAUAUUGUAUGAAAAAUGACACUUUUGGUCUGAGGUUUGGUUUAACUGUUUAGGCUCUUCCAAACUCAACCAUUUUACUCAUGAGGUUUGCAUUUGGUAUCAUUCAUGGCUAAUUGGCUACUUUUCUAUUUCAGUGCUACUACUCCGAUGCUGCCAUAGCUGAUGGUUACUUCAGUGUUCUGGCAGAAGUAUAUAUGCGGCAAGAGAUACCAAAAUGUGAAAUCCAAAGGCUCUUAAGCUUAAUUCUGUACAAAGUUGUGGACCCUAGUAGACAAAUCCGUGAUGAUGCUCUUCAAAUGCUUGAAACUCUUUCUGUUCGCGAAUGGGCUGAAGAUGGCACUGAGGGGUCAGGGAGCUAUCGAGCAGCCGUUGUUGGUAACCUUCCUGAUUCGUACCAACAAUUUCAGUAUAAGCUCUCAUGUAAACUUGCAAAAGAUCACCCUGAAUUGAGUCAACUGCUUUGUGAGGAGAUAAUGCAAAGGCAACUUGAUGCAGUUGAUAUCAUAGCUCAACAUCAGGUUCUCACGUGCAUGGCUCCGUGGAUUGAGAACCUUAAUUUCUGGAAACUCAAAGACUCGGGUUGGAGUGAUAGACUUCUUAAAAGCCUUUACUAUGUCACGUGGCGGCAUGGGGAUCAGUUCCCAGAUGAAAUUGAAAAGCUCUGGAGCACGAUUGCUAGCAAACCAAGGAACAUUAGUCCUGUUCUGGAUUUCUUAAUUACCAAGGGAAUUGAAGAUUGUGAUUCUAAUGCAUCUGCAGAAAUAAGCGGUGCGUUUGCCACGUAUUUUUCAGUUGCAAAGCGUGUGAGUUUGUACUUAGCACGGAUAUGUCCUCAGCGUACUAUUGAUCACCUGGUCUACCAAUUGGCCCAGCGCAUGUUAGAAGAAAGCAUUGAGCUUGUUGGUUUGGGUUCCAAGGGAGAUUUGGGUGGAAACUUUGUGUUGGAAUUCUCUCAGGGGCCUCCAGUGGCCCAAGUUACUUCUGUUGUGGACAGCCAACCGCACAUGUCACCACUACUUGUACGUGGAUCCCUUGAUGGUCCGCUUAGGAAUGCUAGUGGGAGCUUAAGCUGGAGAACAGCUGGUGUAACUGGUCGAAGUGUCUCCGGCCCCCUAAGCCCAAUGCCUCCUGAGUUGAACGUUGUUCCAGUAAAUGCAGCAGGUCGAUCCGGCCAGCUACUUCCAGCUUUAGUAAAUAUGUCUGGCCCUUUAAUGGGUGUUAGAAGUUCAACGGGAACUAUACGCAGUCGACAUGUCUCCAGGGAUAGUGGUGACUAUCUCAUUGAUACGCCAAAUUCUGGUGAAGAUGGGCUUCAUUCUGGGGUUGCUGCUCAUGGGGUUAGUGCUAAAGAACUACAGUCUGCACUACAGGGUCAUCAGCAGCAUUCUCUUACACAUGCUGACAUAGCACUGAUCCUUCUUGCUGAAAUUGCAUAUGAGAACGAUGAAGAUUUCCGUGAGCACUUGCCUCUGUUAUUUCAUGUCACUUUUGUUUCGAUGGAUAGUUCAGAAGACAUUGUUCUAGAACACUGCCAGCAAUUGCUUGUUAAUCUACUAUAUUCACUUGCCGGCCGACACUUGGAACUUUAUGAAGUUGAAAACAAUGAUGGAGAGAACAAGCAACAGGUUGUGAGUCUGAUCAAGUAUGUUCAAUCAAAGCGUGGAAGCAUGAUGUGGGAGAAUGAAGACCCAUCUGUCGUGAGAACUGAACUUCCUAGUGCAGCACUUCUUUCUGCACUGGUUCAGAGUAUGGUGGAUGCGAUCUUCUUUCAAGGUGAUUUACGUGAGACUUGGGGGUCAGAGGCACUAAAAUGGGCCAUGGAAUGUACGUCACGUCACCUUGCUUGUCGCUCACACCAGAUAUACCGUGCACUGCGGCCAAGUGUUACAAGUGAUACCUGUGUAUCUCUCCUUCGCUGUCUACAUAGAUGUCUGGGAAAUCCUGUACCCCCUGUUUUAGGUUUCAUUAUGGAAAUCUUGUUGACCUUGCAGGUAAUGGUUGAGAACAUGGAGCCUGAAAAGGUGAUACUCUAUCCUCAACUCUUCUGGGGGUGUGUGGCUAUGAUGCAUACAGAUUUUGUCCAUGUAUACUGCCAGGUUCUUGAGCUCUUUUCUCGUGUGAUUGAUCGUUUAUCAUUCCGGGACAGAACAACUGAAAAUGUACUCCUUUCAAGCAUGCCUCGGGAUGAACUUGAUACUAAUAAUGACAUUGGAGACUUCCAACGAAUUGAAUCUAGAAUGGGCUAUGAGCUGCCUCCAUCUACUGGGAAUCUUCCAACAUUUGAAGGGGUGCAACCUCUUGUACUUAAAGGUCUGAUGUCCACGGUUAGUCAUGGUGUCUCAAUAGAGGUUCUUUCAAGAAUUACGGUGCACUCCUGUGAUUCCAUUUUUGGGGAUGCAGAAACAAGACUUUUGAUGCACAUCACUGGCCUACUCCCAUGGCUCUGCUUGCAACUCAGUAAGGAUCCACUGACAGGACCAGCUUCACCACUCCAGCAGCAACAUCAAAAAGCAUGCUCGGUUGCAUCAAAUAUUUCUAUAUGGUGUCGUGCAAAAUCAUUGGACGAAUUAGCUACUGUUUUCAUGGCAUACUCUCGAGGUGAGAUCAAAAGUAUUGAGAUCCUUCUUGCUUGUGUCUCCCCUCUACUUUGCAAUGAGUGGUUUCCAAAGCACUCUGCACUGGCUUUUGGUCACUUGUUGCGCUUGCUGGAGAAAGGACCAGUCGAAUACCAGCGUGUGAUACUGCUGAUGCUGAAGGCAUUACUCCAGCAUACUCCUGUAGAUGCUUCACAAAGUCCGCAUAUGUACGCAAUUGUCUCGCAGUUGGUUGAGAGUACAUUGUGCUGGGAGGCAUUGAGUGUAUUAGAAGCACUUUUACAGAGUUGUAGUUCAAUGACAGGUCCUCACCCACACGAACCAGGGUCCUUUGAAAAUGGACAUGGUGGAUCCGAGGAAAAGGUGCUAGUUCCCCAGACAUCGUUCAAAGCUCGCAGCGGACCCUUACAAUACGGCAUCGUGUCAACAUCAGCACCAGGUUCUAUUCUUGUGUCGGGGGUUUCAAAUGAAUCAGGACCUUCUCCAAGAGAGGUAGCUCUGCAAAAUACACGACUUAUUCUUGGGCGGGUUCUCGAUAGCUGCAUACUGGGAAAGAGGAGAGAAUAUAGAAGGUUGGUUCCUUUUGUCACAAGUAUUGGGAAUCCCUAACUCCACGUCUCUGUAAGUAACUUCUUUUAUGUAGAGGCAAUGUAUAUAUAUAUACACGUCAAGAAGUAGUUUUGUAGCUAGUGUUGAAUUAUAUUAUGUAGUUCUAGCAAGCUGAGAUUCUUUCCAUCUAUUUAAGCUUUGUAAAUGUACGUGUAUCUUCUUGCUUACAAUGUUAAUUUUUUCCUAUUUCUAUUUUCCCUUAAAAGCUGUUUGGUGAAUCACAAUUGGAUGUGUUUAUCCCGGAGUUUGACAUUCAUGUUUUGAUCAAAUGUUUUAGACUUGAUUUGUGAUACUAAGUUCAUUAUGCUUCGACAAUUCUUUCUGUCCGUUUUCACAUUUCAAGAUUUCAUUUCAGUUUUACCCUCAAUUUUUACGUGUUCCAACCGUUUUCAUAUUUUCAAUUAUAUGAUUACAAUUUAGCUCUCCACAAUAUCCCCAAAGAGUUAGUUUUACUUCAAAGACAAAUUCAGGUAUGAUGUGACUAGAACUUGACAAGUUGAGUGAGGAGAGAGGUUAUAUCCAAUAUUCUUAAACACCACACCACAAGACUAACAAAAGCUUCCUCCAUAAUGGUGUGUGCAAACUUGCUUUUCCAUUUGAUCAUGGUAAGACGACGUUAAACUAAAAUUCAAGAGUUGAAUAUUUUUUAAUUAUCUUUACCAUAUUAAAAGGAUGGGAGAAAUUUUUUUUUUUGGUCCCUUCUACCUAUUGAAAAUUCCAAUCAUAUUCAUAAUCAAACAUAGAUUCGUAGGUUACAUAUAGUAAGUAAAGGUUUCAAUUAAUAUUUGAUAUAUUUUAUGACUUAAUAAUAAACAAUUGAAAGUUUAAGUUUACAAAUUAAUCAAUGCACUUUUUAGUAGCCAUUAAAGUAAGUUGAAAAAGAUGAAAUCUCUUUACAUUCAAAACCCUUUAAAUUCUCUUUAACAUUUCAAAUUCUACAAAAAAAAAAAAAAAAAAGAAUAGAACAUCUUUCUCCUUCAUCCCUAUGAAUAGUUUCACAUAUUCUUAAGAAGUUUCAUUGCUAAACAAAGAAGAAUUGUAACAAUUGGUUUUGAUUCAAGAUAUAUCUCAAUCCUCUAUUCAAUUUUUUUAAAAAGAUAUUUAUAUACCAACUUAAAACUCGUGUUAAGAAAAAUGUGAUUGUUGUGAUUUUUUUGUGUGUUAGUUAGUCUCGUGAUAUGAUUUUGUUGUAUAAAAAGUUUUUUAUUGUUAAUAUUUAACAUCUUUUAUAUUAUCGAUUACGAAGUUUUAGAAUUGAUAUGUAAUAUGUCUCUUAAAACAUUACAAUACUUAGUACGCAAAUAUACGAUAUAACAUAAUUACACAUUUGAUUUCUUAAAAUGAAAUUAGUUAAGCUAAAUAUUUAUGACGUUACGAAAAAAAUAAAAUAGUAGAAAGAAUAAUUAAUAUCAAUUGAAACUCAACAACAUUUAAAUAAUUACAUGGUAUUGUGUUUGCGUAAAUGUUAUUAAAGGAACUAUAACAUUGGGUAAAUCCAUGAAAGAGAUGUUGUGCAUAUAUAUGAAAAUUGGACUGCUAAUGGUGUUAUUGAAAUAUGAACAAAUUGAUAUAGAAGUUAUUUUAUUUUAAAUGAAAGCAUAAAUGAAUGAAGUCCCACUAAUUAAUGCUAAAUUGACGAAACACAAAUGAUUAAUGAUAUUAAUUAAACUACUUAGAUUAAAAUGAAUGUUAAUAUUAUAAAGCACAUGGUUUAAGGUUUUACUCUCUCUUUAUACAUCAAAUUUGAAUACAAAUUAUUAUUAUUUUUUAUUUUUUAUUUAUUAUUUAAGAAAAGAAAAAAAAAAAAAAAUGUAAGAAAUUUAUGAAAACGUGACUUCGUCAAAAUCCCCAAAAACUUCCCCCAAAAUUUCAAUGGCUCUUUUCUUCUCCAUUUCUAAACUUCAUCUUCAACCUAACAUCAACAUGCCUCUCCCCGAUCAAACCCACAACAAUUCACCGUCGCCGGUGCCGUCAAUCCCUUCUCUACGCCGUGAAGAUUCCCCCAACCCCAUGGAUUUCAACCCUUUUGCCACCGUCCCCUCAAUCGUCACAUCUGCUGCUGCCGACGUUUCCCACCCUUUCGAGACCGAUUGGUUUUCCGACUCGGAUUCCGAAUCCGACCGUGAUGUUAGUUGUUUUGUCACUGAUCUUUUCGACAAUCGUAGCUUCACCGAUCCUUUACACGAUCACGAUCACGAUCACGAUGGAGCUUUGUUUUCUGUGCUAGACCCAUUUACGCAUUCUGUUAACGACUUGGGCGUUUCGGGAUUUGAAGGUAGCGGUGAGAUUGGAUCUAAUUAUGUUGAGGAGCUGUGGUCGACGUUCGGUGUUGAAUCUGAUACACGGGUUUCGGAGGUGGAUGUAAGCAUGCAAAUUGCGGAUUCUAUUACUACUGGCCUUCGUGUUGUUGAUGUGGAUUCGGAUUCGGAUUCUGAUCCUGGGAUUAUUGGUGCUUUGCAACUCGUGACAGGGGACGAUGUCGAGAAUGAUGGUAAUUGGGUUGAAAGUUCGAAUCCUGUCUCGGAUACCUUGAACCUUUGUUUUCAGGGUCAGAGGAUUUCGUACGAGGAUUUUGAAUGGGAGGAGGUUGAGGAGCGAGUGGAUGAAAGGGAAAUUUCGAGCGUAGUGGUUGAUAGAGCUGAAGAAUUGUCUCUUGCAUCGGGUUUUUCUAAUGAGGAAGAACCUGGAGAAGAGGUGGGUCGAUGGGAAAUCCUAUUUGUAAUGAACGAUAUCGGAAGGAAUAAUGAUGCUGAGGCGUAUAUAGCCGAUCAAGAUGAUUACAUGUAUGCAGCAGAAUACGAUACCCUUUUUGGGCAAUUCGUUGAAAAUGAUAAUGCUUUGAAGGGUAGUCCUCCGGCAGCUAAAAGUGCUGUGGAGAAUCUUCCUCUGGUUGAGUUAAAAACAGAGAAUACCCUGGCAGAGGAAGUCGUUGUUUGUGCUGUUUGUAAGGAUAAAUUUUCAAUGGAAGAGAAGGUGAGGAAGCUUCCCUGUGGUCACUAUUACCAUGAUGAUUGCAUUCUUCCAUGGCUGAAUAUUCGAAACACAUGCCCUGUUUGCCGGCAUGAGUUGCCAACAGAUGAUCCAGAUUAUGAGCGUAGGCAGAGUCAGAGGGCGAGUGGCGGCCUGCAAUCGGAUUUGCAGGUCAGGUACAAUUUUGAACUUAUAGCUUAAUACUAGUGCAAUAUGUGAAAUGCAACCUGUGAAUAGGGUCACUCUUAGAUGAAGAAAGUUUCUUACGAUUUUGCAUUUGUAAAGGUUUUGUGGUAAGUAUUUCUUUUAAAAAUUCUCUGCGUGGAAUGGAACUACUAGCAUUGCUGUUGAUACGCUCAAAUUGUCCUCAAAAGGUAUCCACUGUGAUUCAAUGCUUUGUAAGUUCUAGUCAUUAAUAGUAGGGGGAAAUUAUAUAUCUCUUACCCCUUUUUUUUUUUGAAAGAUCAUCUCUUACCUUUUUGAGUUCAAUUUAGGAAUUAUAAUGAUUCAGACACAAGACAUACUAAGUGCUGGCCUUUGAAAUUGUUUACCUGUGAAUGUAUAUUUUUAUAUGUUUGAGUAUAUGUUGGUAAACUUGUUAAAUUAGGAACCUCCUUUCGUAAACUUUAGUGUGGCGCAAUUGCUUGAUUUUGGGUCAAAAUAAUUCUGUGUUGAAGUAAGUUUAAUAGGACAUGGGGAGGAUGAUGCUUCUGUCAUCGGGUUUUGGUUAUUAAUAAUUACAUCCGGUUAUUGGAUAUAGAAAUCUUAAUGGACGUUAUUUAGCCCUUUGCGUGUGUUUCGGAUUGUUAUCUUCCCCCUAGUAUAUUAAAAGUAAUAUUUUUUCAUUGUGCUUGGCUACGCAUGAAAAAUUGUUUUAUGGUUGAAGAAACAUUUAGUUGUGUUUUUUUGGUUUUCCCCCUAAAUCGUUAGUGUGAAAGUGUUCUAAUUUAAAAUACUUCGAAGUCACUUUUAAUCAUUCAUGAUAUCAAUUGGGAUUAUAUUAAAUGAAGAUUUUGUUUUUGUAAAAAAAAUUAUCUCGAGAAAUGGCAUCUCUCUUAAUGAUUACUAAAGUGGUGUGGUAUGGAUCAUACAUUUUUAUAAAAUUAUUCUUUGUUGUCUUAACGUGUUUAGAAGCAGGUUUCUUUAUCAAACAAUCUUCCAAAGUCACAGACUUCUAAAUUCUGGUGUUAGCUAUUGUUGCAUUGCGUUUACCCGUGUUAUCUUAUUGUUCCCUUCUUUAAAAUCUCUCAGAAAUUGUUUUAUGAAUUAUUAUUAUGGUAUUAAUUUCUACAUCGUUUGCUUUUAUGACUUAUCAGAUCAUCCAUUGAUUAAUCGAUUUAGCUGUUCAACCAUGGGUUGACAUAUCAGUAAAUAAAUAGCACAAGUUCGAUAAAUGGCAAAAUUCACGGUGGACACUUACCCAGUGUCUACAAAUUUCUUUGACACCUAAAUAUGGUAAGGUUAGAUAGGCUAUCUCAAGAGAUUAUUCAAACACUCAUUGAUAUUAAUAAUAAUAAAAAGGAGAGAUUGAUAUAGCUGUUCAAAAAAGCAUGUGUUUCUUUCCUUGUCUAUAUGUUGUUUGUUGCUGCUAGAACACUAUAUAGACUGACAUUUUAAGUGGAGGAGUUGUGCCUGCAUUUCAUUCAUGGUCUAUAUAAUGUUUGGUGCAGCUAGAACAAAAUAUAGACCAUGGCAUUAUUAAACAGAAAGUGGGUUGUGCCUGCAUUUCAUUUAUGUUCUUAUGAUGUUUGCUGCUACUAGAACAUGAUAUAUACUACGGCAUAUAAUUAAAUUGAAGGUGUGCUCUGCCUGCAUUUCUUUCAAUGAUUUAUAUGAUGCUUGUUACUGCUAGAACACGAUAUAAACUAUGUCCUUGAACGGAGGGUGAGUUAUAUGGUAACAACUUUCAUCAUUUAUCCUCAUAUUCUAGAUCGUGUGAAUCGUCGAGGACCAUUACUUGUCAGUUGUUACCAAUGUUUUUAUCCAGAUUCCCCUUGCUCCCAAGUUUAGAUUCAAUGAUCUAUUUUGUUGUGUGGAACUCAUUCUUCUGAAUUGGAAAUUGAAUUUUAUCCCAUUUAUCUUUUUUUAUGUUCAUCAUUUCACGUCUUGGUGUAUUACUGGGAUUUUUGUCUAUAAAAGUUGGAUUGGAGUAUUCUUUUUCAGGUUAUAGAUAGUGAACAUAUGAGAAGUUAGCUAUUUAUUAUAGCUAUGUUGGUUAUGGAGUUGUUUGCUGUUUUGCUUUGUGGUGUGGUUAUGUUCAAAUCAAAUUCUUGUUUUUGAUGGGUUAAGCACUUCGAAAACUGCUGAGGAAACAUUCAUUUUCGCAUAUAUAAUUUGAAAUUUGAGAACCUUAAAUUUAAUGAAAUGCAUAAAUAUUUGUAAAUAAGUUGAACUCUUUUUUCUAAAAAAUAUAGUUUUUAGAUGUGUUUGGUGGCUAAUUUGGAAAUUUGUAUUUGGUACUUUUUGAAAAUUGGAUUUAAUUUAGAACACUCAAAUAUUCUAAAUUUGCUUGAUAUUGUGGAAUUGGUUGACCUUAUAGUCUAAAAUUUUGGCAAAAAUUUGUUUGAGUACUAUUUGGUAAAAGAAUUUAACGUUUGUUUACAAUAAUAUUUCAUUUAAUUAGAAGUAAUGAUACGAAAAUCAUUAUUUUAACAUCGAGUUCUUUUUUUUUUCUAUAUAUAAUAUUUAAAAAGUCUUCAUCGCUUUCAUAAAAGACAAAAUGUUUGGAAUAUAUUAAUUUAAUUAGGUUUGGGAGAAUGAGAAGAUUUCAGAUAAUUAUAAUUUAUAAUAUUGAUAUUAAUAUUAUAUAUAAAUAAAAAGAGAUAUUUGUAAUGAUAUGAAAUGAAAGCUCAAUUAUAUACUUACAUAUAUUCUAUGACUAAAUGUUAAGACAAACAUUUAAUCAUUGUUUUCUCCUUGUCUUUUUUUAAUAAUUGUUUAGAAAAAUUAGAAUUAAUCAUCGCUCGAAGUUGGUUUUUUAAUCAAAUUAUCAUCGAACUAAUUACGGUCAAUUUAGUAAAUAUUCAAACUGACCUUAACCAUCGAUGAGAAAAUGUCAGCCAAUAAGUUAUCUUUGAAAUACUUUUAAAAUUUCUCGAUUUAGAACUUUCCUAAACAGACAUCGAUCGACUGUCUUUAAAUCAUAUAUAAAAAGUUGUUCAAAAGAUCUAAAUCACCAAUUUAGCAACUUAAGCUGGUAUUUAAUUGGGGAGGAAAUAACGAAGUAGAGGCUUAAACUAAAGAGAUCAUCAAGCAACCUACUCUAAUAACAUCUUAAAUCACUAAUUUAACCCAGAAGCUCACAGGUAAAUGGUAAAAUUUAAUAUAAUAUCUAACCAGAGAUAAUCAAUUGAACGAUGUUAACUUUGGCGAUCAUUUCUAAGUUUGUAAACAACUAUAUAACAUCUAUUAAUUUAGUAGGUAUUAUAUAACAAAAUUGAUUUCUUACCCAAGAAGUGAAUCUUCAAGUAACUGUGUCAAUUGAAUCUCUCCCCGUUAUCUUGAUUAUGCUUUGAUGUGAUUUUAAAACUCUUAAAACAACUUUUACGUUAGCUUUUAGAAUUAAUUCUAAAAAUAUUUCUAACCGUUUAAAAUAAGUUUAACUAAAAAAACAUUUAGAAAUGUAAAGUUAAAAACCGAACAGAAAAUUAGAAGUGUAUUUAUUUUUUUCGCUUUUUUCGAUUGCUCGUUAGAGAAUUACGAUCAUCGGCUUUGAAGUGAGCCAAGUCUUUGUCUUAUUGUGAAUAAUAUAAUAUUUAGCUACAAUUUAUCGAUACUUGUUACUAUAGAAGAGAGCUUAAAGAGCAUUGAAGUUGAAAAAAGAAACAAAGAAAGGGGAUAUGCAUUUGAACAAACUUGAUCCCCAACGUUCGAACAUUUUAUUUUAUAUUGACAUAGAAACUAUCGUUGAACUAUACUAAUGUUACGUUAUGUGCAUGCAUGUACCGUUAUCACUACAAGAAAAAUCACUUUUUAAAAAAUCUAUUAAAUGUAUUAGCAACACGGUAAAUGAGCGUUGUUGUAAACGUUUUCAUUAUGACAUAGUAAGAAGGUUUAGUAACUGAUUCACCAUACACCGUUAACACACGACUUUCACCAACGCUCAUAUGUUUCUUAAAGUGUACUUUUAGCAACGUAUAUAAUAUGUCGCAAUUUGUUUUUUUUUAUUACAACCAUAUAUUAAUUGCAAGGUUGCUUUUAAAGUAUUUUUAGUAAGGUAAAAAAGUUGCUGCUAAGUAUAGAUCAUUUUAGAUCCUUGUAGGUAUCUUUUGAGACAUUUGAUAAAUGCCAGUAAAUGCACAGAUACGUGAACGUGCACAAAGAAAAUGAAACUAUUUCACAAACACGCUUGCAUACGUUAAUAAGCCAACUCUAGAAAUUCUUUCAGGUAAAUUUUUUUAGUAGAUUUAGGUAGCUAGCUUUAAAUAUAUAUAUUUUGCAUUUCUUUUUAGCUUCUUACCUAUUGAUUUUUGUCUCACUAGAGGAUCGUGUAAAGAGUUAUGCAAUGAUUAGUAAUAAAGACUUCACAUUUUUACUUGUCUCUAGGAAAACAUAUAUAUAUUUUUUUUGUAGGUUAGAAUCAAACCCCUGAUUCCAUCGUUGAUAAUAUAAUUUUUUUUUGUCAAUUAAACUAUAUUCAUGUUGAUAAAAGAAAUUGAACUCUUUGAGUGCAAACAAUUGCAAACUAUAGUCGUGGUUAUAACAUGAUGAAAUGUGUUUUCUCUUCGAUCGCUUACUUCCAACUUUAACGUGACUUUAAAUCCACAUCCAACUUAGAAAGAAAUGCUUUCAAAUCCUUGAUUCUUGAGUUCGAUUAUGAAAUACAUAAACCAAAUGAAAGCUAAACGAAGUAGUUAUGACCAAAAACGAAAAAGGAAUAAUGUAACGUAUUAAGAGUUAUAUUAAAGUAUUUUUUCCUAAAAAUUCCAAAUGUAUUAAAAUGAAUGCAAAUGUUUGUAGACUCAAAAUUUAUACUAUUGUUAAAGUUUAAAUGAAUGAAAUAAUUUCUUAAAAAUCCAAGGAAAACAAAAUAUAUAUAAAUAGGGGAAGAAAGAUGAUAAGAAGUGGUUAGCUAUCAAGUCAAAAGUUGCCAAAAUAAUGCUAUUGUGGUUAUAAUCAUCAAAGUUUGAUAGUGGAUUAAGACUUUAAUUAAUCCAAUUUUUGAUGAACAAAAGAAAUGGUUAAAGUGAUUGUCUUAAUCCAAAUUAAAAAUGCACUACCACUCCCUUAAAUGCACUUCUUACCACAUUCAUUCAUUCAUUGCACAUUCAAAUAUGGAAAUUUAAUCACAUCAAAGUUCAUAACUUACACAAUUAUGAGUUAAUUUAUUAGUGUGUAUAUUGAAGUGAAUAAAAAAUAUGUAAUAGAUUCCUUUUUAUUAGGACGAGUGAGAGAAAACCCUAUACAAAGAACUACAAAAAAAAAAAAAAGUAUCGAUUAAUAAUCAUCGAAAGACUACAUUUAGAUAAAAGUUUUGAGUGAUUUAUAACAUGAUAUAUAUAUCUACGAAGAUCCGCUGAUUAAUUCUAAUGAAUUUAUAAUAAGAGACAUGAAUAACACAUUUUCGUCAAAAUUUUUCCCCUUUCACUUAAAGGUCCAAUUUCAUCAAAUAUUAUUGACGGCUGACCAUCCACUUUCUUAAGAAAGUACAUAAUUACAUUUGACUUGUUAGAUAUUAAAGAUCGUCGUUUUGCCAAAAAAAUAAAAUAAUGAAUUAAAACGUGAUCUAUUCUUUCAUUUUCAAAAAUUAAAAUAUCGUCACCAACCUAAAAACUAAGGGAAGAAAAUUAAAUUUAAAACUUAUGUAACAUAAAGAAAAGAAAGAAUUAGGAGGAUGCAUUAUUUAAAUCUCCAUUUACCAUGUCCAAUAAUUGAACAACAAAUUAUAUUCUCUCAAAUUAAUUUUCUUUGAAAAGGUAUAUAAGAAAUGGGGAUGCAAAGCAGAAUAAAUAACAAAAGAUGGUUUGUGAAAAGGAAAAAAGGAAACUUGGGCAUAAUUUGUUUGAAGAACACUAUUGGAUGAAUAUGAAGGAAUAGAAAGGCAAUAGAAAUAAAAGCAUCUAAAAUAGGACAAACACUAUAAAGAUGUUUUGGGCAUUUUCUUCUCUCUCUCUAUAUAUAUUAUCUAAAUUAACCACCAAAUUAUACAAACCAACAAAGUUCAAAUAAUGUUCAUUUUGGACUCUAUCCUAUACUUUAUAGGACACCCACCACAAAAAAAAAAAAAAAAAAGAGAGAGAACAUCACCAAAUGCCAUUCAACAAAUACAUAUAUUGAGGUUGGUUUAAUGGGGUACAAUGAAAAGUUGCCCAUUUUCAUAAUAUAUUGUUUCUUCUUUCUUCAAUCUCUCUAUGCAAUUCUUUUCGGAUCAAAAUUCAUUGUACUGACAAUCUUUUUUAGUGAGUCGUUUGAGACAAUGAAUUGAGUUAUGAAAUUUGAAGUUGAUGUAUUGAGAUUAGAAAGUUUGUGUUUAAAGUAUAUAGCUAGAAGAUGAAGUUUCAAGAUAAAUAUACGAAUUAGAAAAAGAGAAAAGUAUGACGUUUCUCGAUGAUUGUGCAAAUUUUAACCAUUUUUAGUUGGUGGAUCAAAAGCAUAUCGUAUGUCUAAUUUUAGUCUAUACACUUUCAAAAACAAAUCACAAAAUGUAAAUAAAAUCCAAAAUUUAGUAAGAAAAUGGUAAUAAAUAAGGAAUAAAAAAAGCAAUAAAGAAACUAAAUUUAAGAUUGAUUGAAAUGGAACAAAAUUGUAAAGUACGGAGAUAAAAACGUACGUCUUUUAGAAAAGAAAACAUGAAUAGACAAGUUGAGCAAUAGGAAGGGUAGGAGGUAGGGGGGGGUGGUGGCACUAAGCCAUGCGCACUUUGCCCCCACAAGUUUUCAUCUAUCAUCACCUUCUCUCUUGUCUUAAUCUCUCUAUUUUUAUUUGCCUUUUUUCUUUUCUUUGCUUCCUCCAUCAUCCUUCUUAACAUAAUCUUCUUUUCCCCAUCAAUUUUUUUUUGUCACUUUUGUAUAUAAUGGAUUAGUCCAAGUACCCUUUUAAUAUAUAUAUAUAUUAUUCCAUACGAUAUUGAUUCAUAAAGCUUCAAAGUAGAGAGAAAAGGAGAAAGAAAAGAUUGGUUAAUCAAGUUCGUGUACAUUUGUGUAUUGCUUUUAGUGAAAUAACAAGUCUCUAAUUCGAUUCAAUCAUUUAGUUAGGUCUACUGCUAACAUAUACGUCAAAAGACAUAUGGUUCACCAAAAUAUUGGUAUAACUCUAAGUUACGCACGUUUGAUCAACUUUAUCUCAAACUAUUAGUUUGGUUAUAUUAUUAAAAGACUCUUAUAGACAAUCUAAUCUCGUGCAUACCAUUUUUCUUAAUAAUAAUAUUAUUUUUCUAUCGAGUGUUGCCUACUUGCACAAAAGAGAAUGGCAGUGCAUACUGCAGUCAGACUCUUUUUUCCCUAUACUUGUAACCUAUUCCUUUUAGGGUAAUCCAAAAUCUACAAAAUCAAGCUUAUUGACACCUUAAGCCAUAGAUCUAACAAAACACUGUCAAAUUUGAGAAGUGCUUCUAAGUGACAAAAACAACUUCAUGGUAAUAGUGAACUAUUCUCUAGCUUCACUUUAAAGUUGUACAAAAAUCCAUGAAUUCACCAUGUAAAGGAUCACAUAGUAUAUAGAUAUCCAUAAUGUGAUGUACACUACAAGUACAAUUGCAAAAAUGACAGAACAAAUGAAGUUUCUGAUACAAUUGGACAGGAAAACAUACUGAAAUCUGUACUUUCUACUCAAAUAUCAAACAAGCUUUAAGAUGAGUGAAGGAGAGAAAAAGAGACAAAGAGAGAGAGAGAGAUGGUCAAAAUCUUUCUAAUGACAAUGUUGACUAAGCUGUCCACUCAAUCAGACAAGAGCCUCAAGUGUGGGGAAGCAGCAAUUUUUUUUACUUUUGUUUUUCAAGUUGCUCUUUUUCUUCUCCAGUAAAGAUUAUGGUAUUACAUGAAUCAAAGAAAAGCUCUUUAUUGAGUGGAAGACUAACUUUCAAAGCAAGUACACAAUUACUUGCAAGUGUGGCUAUUUCUCUCCACCAAUCAGACAAGAUUUUUCACUCUGAAAGUAACUUUUUACCUUGUUUGAGUUGAGUGUGGUUAGGACCUCAGCUACUCUCUACGUUUUUUUAGCAGCUAGCUAGCAAAUUGUGAGCUCAGAUUUGACCAGAUUUUAAAAAUAACAUGCUUGAUUGAAGCAAUCUUAUACGGUUGGCCAAUACUUUUUUCUAAGCUUAACAUUGAAAAACUCCGGCAUCUACUGUCCCUCGCUCAGAUCACAUAAACUUCACAAUGAUUGAAGUAACAAGACUAAGAAAUGAUGAACUAAGGUAAAGUUUAUGAGUUUAUCUUAUUUCCCCAAAAUCAUCUAUUCAACAAUACAUUCGUGAAAGAAAAAAUGCUUUAUACAAAGGGGUGUUGGGUGUCGACAACUUUUAUGUGACGUCAACUAGGACUCUUAUUGUUAUGAAAUCGACAAAUAAAGAAAAUAAAAAACGUAAGACAUAAAGCAAUAAAGAAUUGACACACAGAUAUAUGUGAUUCACUAAAGUGCAUUACUCAAGAGAAUUUAGAAUACAUAACACAUGCGUAAAUAAUGUGAAUUGCGAGCCCCUCACACUUGAUUGCUGGGAGUGCCAGAUAAUAGAUUCAAGAUAUUCGAACACUUAAUGAUGUGAGAUGACAGUGAAGUUUUCUACUGCGUCUAGAAUCUAGAUCUCCAUCAACUAUGAGAAUUCGUAUAUCAUGUUAAUUUUCCUAAAUAUUUAGAUAAGAUAUUUCAAUGUCUACUACUUUCAUGCAAUCAGAGAGUAUGAUUGUAUAGUUUCUCUGUGUAUAAAGAAACUAAAGAUCUUAAUUAUAGAAAAGUGCCUUCUUUCACCUCAACUUUUAAAUUUUGUCCUCAUGUUGAGGUCACAGUUGUCUUCAUUGUGCUAAACAAAUAUAUAUAGGGACUUGGUAAGAAAGUAGUGGUUAGAAAACAUAGACCUUUUUCUCUAAUUGUUUAAAGAGAAAUAUGAGACAAGAUGAGGCCACCAAUAAAAGAUUUGAGUACUCUGUUACUCUCAGCAGUGUUUUUAAAUGUAGUCCAUUUCAAGUGAUGCAAUAAAUAAGCCAGGGUUUAUCUAUCUUUACAAAACUUAAUUUAUAACUUUACAAAAAUAUAAUAUAAUAUGAUAGUGCCUUGAAAAAAAAAUUGAAGUUUUUUCAGCUACUUCUGCCUUUGUAGUGAUAUCCUCCCUCUUUUUCUUUCUCCUUUUCUAUCUUUUUGUGGGAAGGUGGGAGAAGGUUGAGUAUGCAUUUAAAAUUGUAGCCAUUAUCUUUAAUUAUUGCUCUGAAAUUCUAGGAUAAGUGUAAAUGAUUGGAUCAAAUUGCACUAAUAUAACCAAAAUAAACCUGAAGGGAGAAAAAGUAUCUGCCAAGAGAUUUGCAUCAGGUACACUUUGUAUUCUUACAGUCUUAUCCCAAAACUCAAGAAUUGAUGAAAGAAAAGGUUAAAAUGGUAGACGUAGAAUUAUACUAAGAUAAUUGGUAUCCGUACCUAUACAAUUCAGACACCAAGAAGAAAGAGACGUUACCUGUAAUAUAACCUCCCUUUCGUGUUAUGAUUGGUUCAAUCUCACUCAUAGCACUCAUGGGAGGUUGAUCAUAGUUUCUCUAUCAGGUUCUUGGCCAGAUUCCAUGUUUCUAUAUGGGUUUUGGUAUCAAAGACCUUUGUAAAUUAUCUUUUAGGUAGUAUCUUACUUAGUUGGAAACCCUCUCUUUAAAGGGAACUUACAAACUUGUUUUUUGUUGUCCAUGUAUUCUUUUUUUUUUCUCAAUAAAAGCAGUUGUUUCUAUCAAAAUAAAAAAAGACUCCGGGUCAAGUAAUUGGAGCUGAUUAUUUUUAAAUGGAAUUUAAACAUUGAACACUAUUGGGUAUUGUAGUUUCUUUUUGAGCUCUACCCUAUGAAAGUUGAUGAAUAGGGAUGUGAAAGAAGGCUUUACUUGCCUUGUCCAUCUUCUUUUUGCUUACAUCACUAGAUUGAAUUGUCUAGUAGAGAUACUUUUCUAAUCAUUCUACCAUAACAAUAAUUAUACCUCCCACAAUAUGUAUGCCUUCUCUGAUGUAAUCAAGAUAUGAUGUGAAAAAUUAUUCAGAAACAUAAUCAACUCUAAUGUGCGAGUAUAUAUGUGUGAAUCAUGCUUAUAUCACAAACACAUACUAAUAGACAUGAAGUAGUCGAAACAAGAAGGAAGGUACAAGAUAUAGUAUAGUACCUGGUCGAUCUCAUGACAUGAAAGCAAAGCAGCUGUGCCAUAACAGGACAUGGACAAGAUCUGCAUGAUAUUCAAGUGAUUCAACCUCUGAAAAGCUUUCUCAAAAUCACUCCAUGAUCCCAAGAGUGGGCCAAUGAAACCUUUUACUUGCUAUAAAGCACCUUCACCACCAAACUUCCCAUUCUCCCUAAACAUUGUCUUCUUCUCUUCCAAGAUCCAGUAAAGCUUUCAACAAAACCUUGAAAAUGCAGCCUGGUGAAGUCACAAGUCUCCAAUAUCUCAUCCCCUCCAAUUUAUCUCCGUAUGCUACUCACUUUCCCAUGGCACAGAACAACUUACCUACAAUCCAACUUAAUGAAUUCUCUAAUCCUUUAUAUAAUUUCCAAGGUCCUUCUCAAGUUCAUGAUUUUAGACAGCCGUGUUUGAGUAGCAAUUCAACUUCCGAUGAAGCAGAUGAGCAACAGCAAAGCCUUAUCAAUGAGAGGAAGCAGAGAAGGAUGAUAUCGAAUAGAGAGUCUGCACGACGGUCACGUAUGCGAAAACAGAAGCAUUUGGAUGAGCUAUGGUCUCAAGUGCUUUGGCUAAGGAAUGAGAACCAUCAGCUUAUUGAUAAGCUGAAUCAAGUCUCAGACUGUCAUGACAAGGUUGUUCAAGAAAAUGUUCAACUCAAAGAGCAGACUUCAGAACUUCGUCGAAUGCUUACAGAACUACAGGUCAAUGAUCAUUACCCCAGCUUCAGAGAACUUGAAAAAAUCCCCCCUAACUCACCAUCCGAGAGCUGAGUCUGCAGCAACCAGUCAUGACAAGUUAUAUAGAUAAAGCGAGGGUGAGGAGGAAAUUUUUUCCAGUCCCUUUCUCCAGUUAUGGUUCUUCCCACUUCAGUCUUUUCCUCCGUUCAGUCUGUAGCUUCAUGCACGUAAAGAAGAACUGCAAUAACUUCUGUUUGAGCAUCUUAGUUGAUUAAUGUAUAAUUAUGAUUUUUAUUUUUAGCAUCCAAAGACACCUUGGAGCUUCUGAACUUGAUCCAUAUAGAAACACAGCGAGAGAUCCAUCCUAAUCCUAUUUCAAAUAUAGUUCUAUAAACUAAUGACAAACAAUUUACUAUCUAUACAACAAAAACAGGACAACAAAUUAAGGGCAAUGGUCCUUUGUCUAUCCACAAUUUGGUAUUUCAUUUGAGUGUGUUUUAAUGAAAUUAAGAGCCUUUGGGAGGAUUAUCAGGAUAGUUUCCGUCCAUUUGGCUUCCUCUUGAAACGAAUUUGCUGAAGCUUUUUGCAGCUAUCUCAUCUCUUUGUUUAGCUGACUGCAUAUUGUUUUUGUAGAUUCUUUGAGAUUAUUUUUUCAGCUGCCCCUUCCUUUUGUACAUUUUACCUUUUCCAAUGAAUUUGCUUAAAAAUUUGAAGUGUUUAAGAAGAAACCAGCACAGGAAGUUUUUUCUUCAAAAUAACUACGAUGACUAAGUUUCAUAUCGUGCAGUGAAGAUAGUAGUAGUUGUUCCUGAUGUUGAAUGUACUGAACAGGGAAAGCAACGAGCAGCAUGGAUUGGAUUUCUUAUAAGUGGUGGUGGAUGGAACUGGUUAUAAUCUUUAAAAAUUAGGAACCGCUUGGAUUGAUUUCUAACACUUUUUUGCACUUAGAAAUACUCAUUUAAUUACUUAGAAAGACAAUCUAUACACACCCUAAAUGAACAAAAAGAUAUCCAAUGAAAUUUUGAGCACUACUGACAGCUUUUUGAGAGCCUUCGUGUUUGUGAAUAGACCAGAGCAAUAUGUCAAAAACUUUUACAUAGGACCCAGAGUAGUCUUCUGUUGACCGUUGACUACCUCUCUUUUUCUUUUAAAUCCUUUUAUAAAACAGAACCUUUUCACCUUUUGUUUCUUUAACACAUUCUUUAGCACCAACUGCCAAUUUCCAAAAAUAUAAACCAAUGCCGAAUUCUGAUAUUGUACAACUACUAAUCCUCACAAUUCAGAUGCUAUAGGACCAAACAGAUCCAAUAAGAACUGACAAAUUCAAAGGAAAACCAGCCACUUCUUGUUGUACUCCAAAGAUUUGAGCACAAGAAAAUUGAGAAGAUAAAUCCAUUGCCUUCCCAAAGAAGAUUUUUUCCCCAUAAUCUUUUCUACACUUCCAUAACUUUUUGAUGAAGGCUCCUAUAGCAGAGAUUAUCUUGCCUCUGGUUCCCUCUUUCUCACAAUUCUUCCAUUAACUACCUUAAGAGCAAGGGGAAAGUAAAGUGUUUUAUCAUCAUACUCAUAUCACCCUAUUACAUCCAACAUAAUCUAUUUUUAUGUCUCCAACACACUGCCACUAUGAAGAGAUUCUCUAGUUCACUUUUACAUAAUACUAUCCCACAAACUGUGUAGGAAAUGCUCGAGCUUUUCUUAAUUUAUUCACUCUGAUACAUUACCUCCUCAUCCAAAUUACUAAUCAAGAUCUACAACAACACAAAAUUAUGAAAUGUUAUGUACACAAUUUGAUUGGUCAAAGAGUCAUUCACACUUGACAUACACAAGGAGUGAAUUUGCAGAAAAUCCUAUUUUCUGUUGUUUGGGGAGAGAGAAUUACUUUGUUAAAUUGAAUGAGCUUUUAUCAUUAUUUCAGUCAAUUUUUGGCCUAAAAGUUAAUAGGAAAAAACGCUUCAAGAACUGAAAGGUCUAAAUGAUCAAAUCUUCAACGUAGACUUCAACAGUACUCCCUCUAAGUUGAAUGUUUGGGCUCCAAAGAGUAGAGCUUUCAGGACUCCAAUUUUGGAAAAAGGUCCAAAAGCGUCUAUCAUAUUGGAAAAGAGCUUUUUUCUCCAAGGGAAGACAACUUGAUGCUGAGUGGAAUUCUGAUGUACUUCCUUUCUUUGUUUAAAAUCUCUAGCUCAAUGAGCAAAAUGUUAGAGAAAAACAAGUUAAGACUUUUUCAUGGAAGGGGUGUUGAUGAGGAAGGCCUCGCACUUGGUUAAUUGAGAUACAAUUUUGAAGUUUAUGAACCUUGGGAGAUAGGUAUCAAUAAUUUGAGAUUGAGUGAUUCGUCAUCAGUAAGUAGCUGUGUUGCUUCUUUAUAAAGCCAAACACAUUGUGGAAUAAGAUCAUUGUGAGUGAAUCCAGUCCUCACCUUGUUAAAUGGGUUUCAAGUUUCAACUUUCAAGUUAUGGUCUUUAGGACUGCUUCAACAAACCCCUGGUAUUACUAUUUUUGCAAGUUUUCUUUCCUUCUCUUAGUUUGUGAAAUGUUCCAUUGGGACAUCUCAUACACAUCUUUUGGAGAAAGAAUGAUUACUUCCUCCCUAUUUCCUGUUUGAUCCUCAUAGUACAGGAGUUGAUAGACUUCUUGCUUGCCAUCAGUUUCAAAUCUAGGAGCUCUAAGACCAAUUUGGUGUAACCAGAUGCUCAAGUUUUAUUCAAAGUCAUCAAAAGUUCUCUUUAAUAAGAAAUUCAUGGUAUUUAAACAUACCGGCUGGCACAAAAAACCCCAACAGCAUACAUAUGAACUUAAUUUGCACAGUGACAACACUCAACUCGUGGCAAAGCUAAACAUAGAAGGUCUCAUCAAAUUUAAUCUAAUCAAGUACAUUUCUAAUCUCAUAGCCCCUUGAUGAAAUUUUAAGGGAUAAUGUGCCACCUUCCGUAUUAAGGUACAUUAUAGAAAAUCCACCAAGAAUUUAAUCCAUUUUCACUGUUCCAUUUGAAAGCUCGGAAUAGUUUAAGCUGUUGCGGGUGAAAAUAUGGCCAAGUGUCUUGACCCAUAGGGAUCAACCAUAAGGGCUAAAGAGACCAACUCCACAAGUUGGAUCAAAAGAUCAAUAAACAAUCACUUGGCUUACUAAUCUCUAGAAUGGGUGAAUUCAGACACAUGUGUUCAUCUAUUAGGCCAAAGGUAUGUCUGAAUUCACUAAUUCCUGCGAUAAAUUAGCCAAGUGACCGUUACAAAAUCAAUUUUCUAUAUAAUCAAAAGAGCUUGAGUAAUAUGAGGUACUCCCAAAUACAUCUUGUAUUAUCUACUCUCUAGCUAUAUCUUCAAAAGAUUACUAACUUGAUCGUCAGAGUGUUAACGGCCAAGCACUACACCAGUUCGAGUUUUCUUCUCUUGUCCAGAGCGAAGAUUCAAUUCCUCUAAAUUUCAGUAUAAAAUGGGCCAAUGGUAUUCAGAAUCCAUGAAUGAAAGCAUUGUUUUUCAGGACAUUUUUUUGAAAAGCAUUGUUUUUCAGGACUUUUUAGUUAAGAAUCCAGCAAACAAGUCUAGCAUAACUUAUCAUUAGUUUUCAUCUCAUGCUCGAGUUAAAAUCUUAAAAUCUACAUUGGGUUGAAAACAAAUCCAAGAAAAGAGCGGGAGAAAGAAUCUGGAAGAGCAAGAUUGCAAUCCAGCGUACAUCCAACAUAAGAACAAGCUAUCUUUCAAUAAAUCUUUUGUAUAAAAAGAAACCCACAAACAUGGAGAUCUAAAUGCACUUCUAAGACAUUGUAAUUUAAUUCUUCGUCCAUCAAAGAGGGAAAUCCAUACCUGAAAAUAUGCAGAUGAGAAAUGGGAAGUGUAUAAAAAAGGGAUUUUCUUCUUCUUUGUGAUGUUUGCUUACCAUCUUCUCCACCCACAAAUGAACUAACUUUUUGUUCUACCUUGCUUCAUAGUCAUAAAAAUUUGAGAUUUUGAAAACAACAAAGAGUAAUAUUUUCAAUAUGUCAUAAACAGUAGACCAAAUUUCAUUUAUAUUUGUAUCCUUAAGAAGAGAUCAUCAUAUGAAAAUUUUGAGAAAAGAAUGGAGAAGAACAAGCCAAUGACAAAACCAAAAAAUUAUACAUUUUUUUCAACUACAAUAUUUUUCUAAUUCCCUUUUCCGAUAGAAGUGUAUAAAUUACAUAUGGGAUGUUAAAAACCGAUCUAAACUAACCAAAUCGAAUCGAACCGAACCAAAUCGACCAAUUCGAUUCAAGUGGUUUUUCUGUUCAACUUUGUUAGCUUGAGUCUAAUGUUAACUAGAAAAGUAUAAUAAUAAAGAUCACCUUAUUUGACCUUUAUAUUUAAUUGUUUUGGUCAAAGAAUGUGAACUCAACUUUGGAUUGUUCGUGUGUAUACAAAAUGCAUUAUCAUAUUUGAAGAAGGUCUAGAAGUAUUCAAGGUGCUAAUGGAAAGAUUGGAAAAAUGUAAAAGGUAAGAAUUUUGAUCUUUGUCCCAUGUCAACUCUUUUCCAUUUUGAAUUGUGUAAUCUACGUUUGAAAAUGAAGUUUCAAACUCACCUUUUUUGAAUUUAAAUUAUUAAUUGAGAAAAAUAGUAACAUCUAGACAUUUUUCUUAUUGUACUAUAUCUACUAAUACUUUCACAUUUAAAUCUUAUUUUUACUAUCUAUUAAAACUCUUAUUUCAACUCAAAGGCCAAUAUGGUUAUUAGAACACUCCACGAAGAUUCACAAACAAAUAAGGAAGCAACAACAAGAGCAAACUCAUCAACCUUGAACUUGUUCUUCCUAUGUUAGAUGAAAAGAAUCAAGCUCCCAAUGUACAUGUCAAUAGUGAAAUAAACAUUGACGUAGAAUGAAAUUAUUGUACACAUUGGACUUGGGAUGAAACGGUAGAUGCAAUAUUUAGUUUUGCACCUAUGGAGGACAUCCCUAAUGAUGUUAAUGACUAUAGCACCAACAAAUUAAGGAAGCAAAUGGCAAGAGUGAGGCAUUUUUUGGGAGGGAAGAGACACCCUUGACACCCAAAAGAGAGCAAAUACCACAGUACAUCGCAACAAAGUAUCGUAAAUUGAUGUGUAAAAGAAAAUACCAAGUUCAGAAAUGAGGUCACUCUCUCCAUUGAACCAUUAUACAAUAAUUUUAACAAUACAAUAACCAACGAGAACAAGAAUGUAUAGUGGACAACCAUGCAGGGAUACCCUCCCAAAAAGCACACUCUCCAACCUUUCGACGACUAGGAACACCCACGACAAUCUAAAAAAGAAAUCAAAACCUUUGAAACAAUCAACUAGGCUAGCGAGUGCAUAACCAAAUUAAAAAAUCUUAGUCAUUUAGAAAAGACAAUCAAAAGAACAAAAACAAAAAAUAACACAUUAUUAGACAAAAGUCUUGGUUUAAAAAAUACAACCAUUUAUUUUCUUCAAAGCGACAAUAAUAUCAACCAAAUUAGAAUCUACACUAAGCAAACACGACGACAACGACACCAACACGACCCAAACCGAUCAAAUAGAGUUUGUUACCGUCUUAUCGACAAUCAUUUGAACAACUACGUCAAUCUAAAAUUAAAGUUUUUGUAGAUGGAAAGACAAAAUCUUAAUAUUUCUAAAUUGGUAUAUAAAAAUAAGAAAUAUGACGAAAGAUGACGAAAGUAUUAUGAUAGUUUUCACCAACCCCCUUUGUGAAAGGUUAAACACAACUUUUUUUACAAAUUCUGUUCACCUACCCUUCUCUUCUGCCCCCCAAGGCUGCUUUCUUUCUUUAUUCUAAAAUACUUCCAUUCUCCUAUAACCCUCAAAGUUGAUUAAAUUUUAAUUCUUGUAUGGAGAAAAAAAAAUUAAAAUUUUGGUAUGAAUAUAAACUAAAUUUAAGAUUUAUGGAAGGUAUAUAAUUAAAGCAAAACAAACUUCAAACUACAUGGAAAAAAGAAAAGGAAUUUGGUUGUUAUUUUUAUAUAUAUAAUUUAACAAAAUAAAUUUUAUUGGUUGAAUGUGUUUCUCCACUGGUGAGUCUCCAACUUUGACCUGCAAAGGGUCUAUAUAGCGAGUUUCACGAGCACCUAACCAAUAUCUGUGUAAUAAUUCCCAUUUUUCUUCCAUACCCACUUCGUUUGUUCAUCUUUGUCACAACCCCCGAUCUCUAAUUCUUGGGAAUUUGCCUCUUUCUCGAUCCAUUUCCACCGUAAUUGAGAAUAUUCAGGUUUGAUUUCUUCUGGGUUUUCAUUCUACUGUCUAACUUCAUUCUGCCCUUUAUGUGUUUGUUUCCUUCAAUGCGGUUUCUUACCUUUUGUUCGAUUUCAACGAUGAUUUACAAGUUAUAGAUGGAUGCUAAUUCUUAUGCUGUUGGUUUGAUCCACUGAUCUGCCUUUCAUUGGCAUAAGAGGAGAUUCUAGAUCUUGUGAUUUAUGGAUAUUAUUGUUAUAAUCAUGGAAGUUUUUCUUGUUGUUCUGCGGUAUAUGGUUGUUUUAUUGUUUGAGUGGUAAAUUGAGCAGAUUGUGAACUUUUUGGGUUUUAUGGUGAAAGCAUGAAAUAUUAAAUGUAGAGUUGCUGAAACAAAAUAGAGGUUUGUCAGACCUCUUUGUGAAUUCUUAAUGGUUAGGCUCCAUCUUAAGAGGCUAAGUCCAAAAAUUUAAGGCAGUCCUUUGUUAUUGUUACGAAGGACAAGAAAUAACAGAAGAGUUAUUUUAACUGAAUCAAGUUGGAAAGAAGUACUGCUACUUCAUGCUUCUUUCAAAAGCAGGUCAAAGUGCUUUAAAGUUUUUUUUUUUUUUAAUUUAUUUUUUCCUGAAUCAAAUUAAACUAGUGAUAGAAAGAAGUGUUUUUUAAUGGGUUAUUAUAACAUCAAUUUUAACCAUUCCAAAAGUUGCAUCAAAUUCAUACACAGUGUGAGUUUAAGAAUUUUGGGAGUUGUAAUUUUAAGUUAAUACUUCUUUUAAGGAAAUGUGCACUUUGCAUGUUGUGUUUGUUUUCGUAAGGGGUAUUUCUUUGACAAACGCAGCAACGACCCCUUAUGAAAACUAAACAACGGUGGUUGGUUUUUUCUUGUUCUUCUUACUUGGAUUUUACAGUAAGUUGUUGUAUUCGGAUCUAUAGCAAAGUAGAUAUCUGUUUUUAUCCGACACCUUACAAAUCUUGAAUGUGCCGCAGGUAAAAACAUGGCUGCUCCUGGAAAACCUACAAGGAUUGGUCUUGCUGGUUUGGCUGUAAUGGGUCAAAACUUGGCUCUCAACAUUGCAGAAAAAGGCUUCCCUAUUUCUGUAUAUAACCGAACAACCUCCAAAGUAGAUGAAACGGUUGAACGAGCAAAAGCUGAAGGAAACCUUCCUCUCUAUGGCUUCCAUGAUCCUGAAUCUUUUGUUCAAUCAAUUCAAAAACCUCGUGUCAUAAUCAUGCUUGUUAAAGCCGGGGCUCCAGUUGACCAAACCAUUAAAACCCUCUCUGCUUACUUGGAGAAAGGUGAUUGCAUUAUUGAUGGUGGUAAUGAAUGGUAUGAGAACACUGAGAGGAGAGAGAAAGCCAUGGGUGAAUUAGGUCUGCUCUACCUUGGAAUGGGAGUUUCAGGGGGUGAAGAAGGUGCUAGGAAUGGUCCUUCUUUGAUGCCUGGAGGAUCUUAUGAGGCCUUUAAGAACAUUGAGGACAUUCUCGUUAAGGUUGCAGCCCAAGUUCCCGACAGCGGUCCCUGUGUGACUUACAUUGGCAAAGGUGGAUCAGGUAACUUUGUCAAGAUGAUCCACAAUGGAAUAGAAUAUGGUGAUAUGCAGCUGAUUGCAGAAGCUUAUGAUGUUUUGAAAUCUGUGGGGAAGCUAUCAAAUGAGGAACUUCACCAAGUUUUCUCAGAAUGGAACAAAGGCGAGCUUCUAAGUUUCUUGGUUGAAAUCACUGCAGAUAUCUUCAGCAUCAAGGACGACAAAGCCGACGGCUAUUUAGUAGACAAAGUUUUGGACAAAACCGGUAUGAAGGGUACCGGUAAAUGGACUGUUCAACAAGCUGCUGACCUCUCAGUUGCUGUUCCUACCAUUGCUUCUUCUCUUGAUGCAAGGUUUCUUAGUGGUUUGAAAGAAGAGAGGGUCGAAGCAGCAAAAGUCUUUGGAUCAGGUCUUAAUGAUGUCUUGGUGCCUCAAGAAGUCGAUAAAGCAAAGUUGAUCGAUGACGUGAGACAAGCUCUUUAUGCAUCCAAAAUAUGCAGCUAUGCUCAAGGCAUGAAUUUGAUCCGUGCCAAGAGUAUUGAGAAGGGAUGGGAUUUGAAGUUGGGUGAACUUGCCCGGAUUUGGAAGGGAGGUUGUAUCAUCCGAGCCAUAUUUCUCGAUAGAAUCAAGAGGGCCUAUGAUCGAAAACCCGAUCUAGCCAAUCUUCUUGUGGAUACAGAAUUUGCUAAGGAAAUAAUCGAACGACAGUCAGCAUGGCGAAGAGUUGUAUGUUUGGCCAUCAACUCAGGUAUCAGCACCCCAGGAAUGUCCUCCAGUCUCGCUUACUUCGACAGCUACCGGAGGGAGAGAUUGCCCGCAAACUUAGUCCAAGCUCAAAGAGACUAUUUUGGCGCCCAUACAUAUGAAAGAACUGAUAUGGAAGGAUCUUUCCAUACCGAAUGGUUCAAGAUCGCCAAACAGCUUAAGAACUGAAAGUAUUCUUCGCCAUAAUCCCGAAAGGAAGAACAGUUUUUUAUUUUCAAUAAUCUUAGCUCUGUAAUGUUGUUGAUCGGAGCUGAUUUCAUGUUUUUGGGUGUCAGUUUGGUUACAUUACUUUGUUGUUCUGAGUUUCAGAGUUUGAAUAUGUUGUCUGAUAAGUUUAUGCAUAGAAUUUCCAUUUGAUUUUCUUCUUCCGAGAAAUGUUAAAAUUUGUGAGUUAUACUUCAACUCUUCAGCUUCUCCCAAGAAAAAAAAAAGAAACAGAUUUUCAAAAUUUGGCUAUGUUCAUGUUUGGUGGAAAUAGAUGUCUUUUGUUAAAUGGUGAAUUUUACUAAUUGACACUUUCCAAUCAAAAUUGGAUUAAAAACUAUAAAUAAUAGUUUUUUAAAACAGUUAGAAUUUGUUCAACAAUCCAACUCUUAAACUUAAAAAAAAUACAAAAAAAAUUGAGGGAAAAUAUGCUUAAUAUUAAAAAAAAACCACUAUAGAUUAAUAUGAAUUGUUAUUACAUAGAUAGUAAUCUAUCUUGAUCUAUCACGGUCAAUCGUAGAUAAACUAUAAUUUUUUGGUAUGUUUUUUAAAUAUUUCGGUUCAUUUUGCUAUAUUUAAAAAUAACCCUAAUUUUUAUUUUUAUUUUUUAAAAAAACACUAAAUUGUUAUGAGCCUUAAAGAGAUUACUAAAUACGUCUCUCCACCACCAAACUAAGAAGUUAUAACCAUUGUCCUUUUUGGUAUGAUCAUAAAACAUUUAGAUAUCAAAAAAACGUAUACAUCUAAGUAGGUGGCCUAUCUUCUCACUCGAGGUUCCUUCACUUUCACAAUGGAUAAGUAAGGAUUUCUUCCAUAGGAAGCUGAUAUUUCUUAGAGUUUUUAGCAAGUAAAGAGAAAAAGAUAAUGGAGGAUCAUCAUUUUCAUAACAAAAGGAAACACUUUUUCUCUCUUUCAUUUUUUGGUGAUCAACAAACACUCACAUAUUAUGCCUUAGCUUUUGAAUUUUAGACCCAAAAAGAAAAGAAAAAAAUUGUCUAGUGAUAUUGAAAUUAAAGAGAUCCAACUAAUCCAAACAGAACUCAAAUCACAUAAUAAAGUUGGUUGAAGAACACUAUUUUGAUAAUGGUAUCUUUAGUCUUGUUAUCCAUUUUAUACAUAUUGUGGAUAAUAUAUUUCAAAAGAAAAGUGAUCCAUCAUAUUCAAAUUUGAUUUAAAUUGGGUUAGAUGCUUAAUUAUAAUUGUUCAUAAAGUGAGUCAACCAAUUAACAACUUUAUAUAUUCAUCCUCCCAUUUACAUGUUAUCAUAGACCCUAUAAUGCCUGUUUUUCAUGCCACAUUCAUAUUCAUCAUUAGACUUUAAAGAUUCUUCUCCCUACCUAUUAUAUUUUCUAAAAAAAUUUAUUUCUAAUUGAAUUAUCAUAUAUAUACUCUUAGUUUUCAUUUCAAUUGACUUAAUUGCUAGACAUGUAUAUACGAAGACUUUUAAAUAUCUUGGUUUAGUUUUUGGUAUAUGAAAACAACAUAGACUUUUAAAUUUGAGUCGUUGAUGCCAAAAUUUGGGCAAUGGUAAUAGGCUUAACAUUCACAUUAUCACAACAAAAGUAGAUUUAUAAUAAGGAAAAGAACGUAAAUUAGAAGAUGGAAACACCUACGAAACACUUCACCACAUGCCACAUAAGGUUUGAUGCAAACAUAUUUGUAACAUGUAAGGAAUCUUAUUAGAAUAGACUUCCUUCAUUGAUGAUAUGUAUGGUUGACAUGAGUUUGCCUCUCACUAGAGUUUUGGAGUAGCUUUGAGAUAGCAUUUCAUCUUACGAAUCAUCUAUGGACGUGCCCUAUUUCGUGUUUUGGUCAGUCAAUAUAUGUUAAUCAACAUCUUGACUUUUGUUUAAACUGAGUUAAUCCUCAUUGUUAGGCUUAAAAUGAUUCUAUAGGUUCAACUUUUUAGUCCAUAUUCUUGUUAUCAUUUGACGUUGUGAUUUUGUUUUUGUUUUUUUUUUUUGUCAAUUAUAUAAUUUGGUUGAAAGUGACUAAUAAGAUAAUUAGUAAUGAAAUGGGUUUUGUGGGUAUUUGUAUGACUCUUUUUAAAAAGUAAAAUUCAAAAUUGAAAUGAAGGUAGCAUUGGAUUACUUUAUAACCUCCAAACAUUCUAAUUCCUCAUCCUUAGAAUUGCUUCUUUAGUGCAUCUUUGAACAAAGCCUUUAAUGUAGUCUACGUUGUAAUAAUGUUUUUCUCUUAAAUUUGAACUAAAAUCUCUCUUUAAUUUCAGUUCAUAGAUUUCAUCACCAUAUGAUUAAAUUUAAGAUUAAUUUGUUAAAAAGCAAAGAAAAUUAAAUUAAAUAAAAAUUAAAACGAAAAUGAAAAAAAAAAGAUAGUUUUUUACUAAAUAACUCACUUAAUUUCAAUUUUACUUAUCCAGGCUUUUACUCUUCAAUUAUUGUGUAUAUAUAUAUAAAAAAAAAGAAUAUAUGCAUGCAAAAAGAAAAAAGAAAACAUUAGCAUUUUAAAAAUACAGAUGAAUCGAUCAAUCAAACUAUAUAUACAAGUUAUAGAAAAAAUGUCUACAUUUUUUACCAUUCAAAUAAAUGUUGAUAGAAGCUUAUAAACGUUUAUUACUGUAUAAAAUGUUACAAAUUUGUCAUCGAAAAACUUUGAUAGAAAUUUUUUAAUGUUUGCCGGUAAUAGAAAUUGAUAAAAGUCUAUUAUUGAUACUACUAAUUAUAGAAUUAAAUUAAUAUAGGUCUAUCAUUGAUAGAAGUUGUUUAUGAAAAUAGUUUAACAUUUUCUCGUCGUAUAUUUGUUUAAAGAUACAACAUGUGGGCUUUAUUUGUCUAAAAUUUGCAACUUCAUGGUGCAAUUAAACAAACAUUAAAUUUAAAUGAUAGCUGCAAUCUUAACAAUUAGAUUCAAAAUAAUUAAGAAUAUAGCAACAUUUUAAUUUAUUUUUUUUAAAUAUAGUAAAUUAAAUUUAUCAAAAUCUACCAAUGAUAGAAGUCUAUCACUAAUAUACCAUGUUGUAAAAUCUAUUAGCAAUCGAAGUCUAUCACGGAUAAAUUUUGUUUAUAUUUGUAUUUUUUAGAUGGUGUUGUUAUAUAUUUAAUUAUUAUUCCUAAAAUUACUACCAAUUAUAAUUACCCUAAAUUUAAACUAUUAAGAAAAUAUUUUAAAUUUAAUUCGAUAAUAAAACAAUUAUAACUCUAAGACAUUUUUAAAAAUAACAAAAUAAAUUAAAAUAUUUACAAACUAUAUCAAAAUUUUGUAUUCUAUAUAGAAAACUAUCACGAUCUAUUAAUGUCAUGAAACAUAUAAGUGACUGUCAAUGUCUAUUAUUGAUAAAAUGUAAAAUUUUAGUAAAUAUUUUGUGAAAUUUGCUAUUUCGAAACAACAACCAAACAACAAAAUUUAUGCUAAGAUUAUACCAACUUAAUUCUAACAUCAUCACCAACAUAUAACAAUGAGAACGUAGUGAGCAACCUAAUUGGUAGCAUGAGGAUUUGGAAGAGAGAAACAGAGAGAUCUCAAAAGCUUCUCGUCACGACCCGAUCGAUCUUAACAACUAAUUUCUUUUUCACCUUCACAACAGUUUUGUUAAUCAAAUGCAACUUAAUAGAGAAGAGGGAGAUAUCAAGAGAAAAGAGAGAAAGAAGAAAGAAAUCAAAAAGUAAAUUUUGAUUCGACUUUUCCAAACAAAGUUUUCUAACUUUUUGCUGACAAAAACCCAAAUUUUUUUUCUACAUUUUCCAUUUCUAUUUAAACUUUGGUUUACUUUCUUACUCCACUGUUAGUUUUGAGAAAAAAUUUUCUAUAAUCAUCUAAUUUAAUAUGAUAUCUAAUAAUAAAACAGGAACAUAUAGUAAAACAAAUAAAACGAAAUUGAGAUAAAAAGAGAUAUCUAAUAUUUUAUACUCGAUUUCCAUGGAUUUACAUGUUCCCGCUGCAACAUUAAAAUUAGAAGGAAGCAAAAACGAAGAAGAUGGAUUUUCGAUCGAGAGAAAUGAGAGUAAUUAAACGGGUGGUGUAUUAGUAGCGGUAGCGAGGAAGGUGGGAGUGUGAUUUCCAGCCAUGAUGACGACGGUGGCGGUUGUGGCAGAAGGCGUAUCGAUCUUCAUGAUUUUCGGGUGUUCUUCGUAGGAAAAAGAGGAAGAAGAAGUAGGGCGUUUCCGGUAGGAACAAGCAAAUAAAAUCAAUGAGGUGAGGAUGAGAAGUAGAGUUAAGGCUAUUCCUCCGAAGAGAUAAGGAAUCGGAGUAUUCCAAAGGCGGCGGUGGUGGUGGUGGUGGUGGCCGGAAUUCAUGGGGACGCCGGCGACUAAUAAUCACCUCAUUCCUCUCUGUUAUUGUUUAUUGGUGAAAUGAAAAUGGAUUGUUUCAUCAAAUAUACAAUUAUUUAUAGAGCCCUCCUUAUGAAUAAAUUAUUGGAAGCCACCUCACAAAUAUCUCUAUACAUAUACAUAUAUAAAAUAUGGCUUGUAUGGGGUCACAAAUAGAGAAAUUUUA
rnacentral:lncRNA from 1 species